AAUGGGAGUGGGAAGUGAUCCUUUCGUGUAGCUGCAUUGAGUUUGCGAUAGUCAAUGCAAACUCUCCAACCCGUAACUGUUCUGGUGGGAAUUAGUUCAUUCUUCUCAUUUUUAACCACUGUGAUUCCCCCUUUUUUUGGUACCCCUUGAACAGGGCUGAUCCAUGCACUAUCCGAAAUUGGGUAGAUAAUUCCUGCAUCCAAUAACUUCAGUAUCUCUGCCCUGACCACUUUCUUCAUGUUUGGGUUCAAUCUUCUCUGACUUUCUAUGCUAGGCUUGCAAUUUUCCUCCAUUAAAAUUUUAUGCAUACACAGGGAAGGACUGAUUCCUUUAAUGUCAGCUAUUGUCCAACCAAUCGCCGUCUUGUUCUCUCUAAGUACCCUGAGCAGCUAUUCCUCUUCCAUCUCACUAACUGUGUUCGAAAUGAUUACUGGAAGUGUAUCUGACUCUCCUAAAUAAGCAUAUCUGAGAUGUGGCGGUAGUCGUUUGAGUUCUAAAACUGGCGGCUGCUGAAUGGAAGGUAGUGGCUUUUUAUUUCCUGUCCCCAGUUCCUCGAAGUGUUUUGGGCGUAUGGCGGGUUUGUCUCCAAAAAUCUUGCACAUGUUUCAACUUCAAAAGAAUUUGACUGAACUGAUUGGGAUUGUGCAAUGCAUGUCUCAUAGGCGUCGGAUGGGCCGUGAAGUAGGAAUGUUUCCUGCACUGCUUUAUUAAUAAUGUCAACUUGGUAACAGCUGUCUGAUUCUGCUGGCAUUUUCAUGGCUUUAAAUACAUUGAAAGACACCUGCUCCUCGCCCAAUCUCAAAAUCAACUGCCCCCUUUGAACAUCAAUGAGUGCUCUUCCUGUUGCGAGGAAUGGUCUGCCAAGUAUCAAUGGGACGUCCUUAUCUUCUUCCAUAUCCAAAAUGAGAAAGUCCGCUGGGAAUAUGAACUUUUCGACCUUGAUGAGUACAUCUUCAAUUAUCCCUCUUGGGUGUGUCAGUGAUCUAUCUGCUAGCUGAAGUGUCACCUUAGUGGCUUUAGCUUCCCCCAAGCCAAGUUUCCUAAAAACAGACAGAGGCAUUAAAUUAAUACUUGCACCAAGGUCACAUAAUGCUUUAUCGAAAUAAAAUUCACCAAUAGUGCAGGGAACAGUAAAACUCCCUGGAUCUUUCAGUUUUGGUGAGAGCUUAUUUUGGAUUCUGGCACUGCAUUCCUCUAUAAGCAUUACUGUCUCAUGGUCCUCCAACUUGCGUUUAUUUGAGAUAAUAUCCUUAAGAAACUUCGCGUAGCUAGGCAUCUGGAAUAGUGCAUCUGCUAGCGGGAUGUUGAUAUGGAGCUUUUUGAAGACUUCUAGGAAUUUUUUAUAUUGUUGCUCCAUUUUUUGCUUAUUCAACCGCCGUGGAAAGGGAAUCGAAGGCUCGUACGGGUUGACUGUGCUCUUGGCCUUAUCCUUUGAUUUUUCUAAAUCUUCCCUUGGAGUUGAUUCCUUUACAGCAAUCUCAUCUUCAGCAGGGGGGACAUCUCUACAGUCGCACUUGGUCCCUUUACAUGGAUUUCAGGUAAUUGCACUCCACUUCGAGUUGUAAUAGCCUUAGCUUGCUCCUUAGAGUUGAUCUCUGUAUUACUUAGCAAGUUACCUGGCGUUCUGCCAGUUAAUGCAAUGGCUAAUUGCCCCACAAAUUUUUGAUGGCUGCAUUUUAAUUUUGAAGUGUGGCUAUCACAUCUUCCAGUUGAGGCCUCUUCUCUUGUUGUUGAAAUUGUCCAUGUGGCUUGUUCUGAUUUUGGCCGUUCCAAGAGAAGUUGGGAUGCUUCUUCCAACUAGGAUUGAAAGUCUCCCCAUAUUGAUUUUGUUGCUGAUGUUGUCCCCACUGUGCAUAGUCUGCUUGCUCAAUUCCUUGCAUUAGUAUAGGGCAUUCUGAUGUCUUAUGUUCAGCUCCACAUUCUUCACAAUUGUUCUUCUUAACUUGUGCUGCUUGUGAUAUGGUUUCCACCUUGUGGUAUAGAGAAUCUAUUUUUGCUGAUAUUGCUGAAUAAGCAUCCAUUUCGUAGACACCUGGAGUUUUCCUUGGGAUCGCCCUCUCAGAAGACCACAUGGCUGAUGUGGUAGCCAUUCUCUCAAAUAAUUCCAAUGCCCCAUCAACUGUUCGUGUGGAUAUUGAGCCAUCUGAUGCUGAAUCCACCAUGCUCUUGUGAUAAGGAAGUAGUCCUAUGUAGAAGAAUCGAAUUUGGGUCUUUUUGUCAAACCUGUGUUGAGGGCACUUCCGAAGCAUGUUUUUAAACCGGUUCCAAGCUUCGUCAAAUGAUUCGAUUUCUCCUUGACUGAACACUGAUAUGUCAUGUCUCAGCUUCGCUAUCUUGGCUGGGGAGAAAAACUUUGUGCAGAAUUUAUGUGCCAACUCAUUCCAUGUAGUGAUACUUGCGACCGAAAAUGAAUCCAACCAUUCAACUGCUCUGUCUCGUAAAGUAUGUGGAAAUAGCCUCAAUCUAAUAGCGUCGUCCGAAAUUCCUUGGUAUCUGAAAUGUUGACACAUAUCCAAAAAGCAAGAUACGUGUGUGUGUGGGUUCUCCUCAGCCUUGCCAUAAAAUUGGUGUCCAUUUUGAAACAGCCGUAUCACAUUGGUCUUCAACUGAAAAUUAGGUUGCCCAAACGGUGGAUACACUAUGCUGGACUGGCUUUGAAUCACUUGAGGAGUCAAGAAAUCCCCCAGAAUCUCAUUCCCCUCGUACAUUGCCUUUCCUUCGUUAGCAUGAAUCAUGAGAUUGUUUACUUCAUUGGCCAUUUGUAUUAGUGCUUCGCGGUGGUUUCUUUGUCGUCAGUGAAAGGUACGCUCGAUUUCAGGAUCAGCUGGAAUCAAUUCUCCUCCAGGUAAUCGUGACAUGCAAAUCUGAUAAAUAAACCAGAGCGAGCACUGAAGUUCUAACAAUUUAAAUAACUAAAACAAAAAUAAAAGAUAAUGACCUAAAAUAAAAAUAAAAACAAAAUUAUACUAGCAAAUUAAAAAAAAUUGAAUUUCGAAUUAGUGCCUCGAGAAAUAAAAUUCAACUAAAUUCAAUCCCCGGCAAUGGCGCCACAAACUCGUUUACGAAAUAUUUUUUUCGAUUUAAAUUACCGCAAGUGUACGGGUCGUGACAAGUAAUAAAGUGGAUUUUAGAAGUCCGAGUAUCAUCCCAUAGGGAAAGAGUAGUUCAAUUUUAUUUAUUUUAGCCUUAACCGAAACUAAUUGACUUAAAAUGAAUUUUAGAAUUAAAAGCCCUAAUUUUGGGAGAAAUCCCCAAAUUGAAGAACCCUAAUUACUCAAAUUCACAUAACGAAUGACUCAAUUACAAAAUGUUAUGAAAAUAAAUGAAAUGUAUUGUCAAUUUAUAAAAAUCUAUGUAAAACGAAUGAACUAGGAUCACGAAUCCCCAAAUAAUUAUUAAGUAAACCCUAAUUUCACAAUUUUGAUAAUCCAAUGAGAAUUUGACAAUUCAAUGCUCCUAAAUCUAUUCAAUACUCUCUCUCGAGAUGUAUUGAACCUAUUCUCAUAAAUCACCAGCAUAUAUUUCUAUGACAGAUGCAAUUAUACAAGAACACAUGUAUUUUUUUGUGAGCAAUUAAAGAUUUACAUAGGGCAUAGGGGUAUAUUUCUAUCCCCUAUCGGACCCUAUGAUGAAUUAUAUAUGUCGAGUUUAAUCCAAUUUUCUCAAAUUUAGAAUUAAACCACCAAAUUCACACAAAUUAAGUGCACAUUAAUUGUGGAAACAAAUAAAUCAAUAUAAUUCAUUCAAAUAAUCCCAUCGAACUAUGAAUUCAAAGUCAUGAAAUAACAGGUUUAAUAAUAAUUACAUGGUUCAUCGAUCACCUAGUUACAAAAAUCUAGCCUAUCAUGAUAAAAAUAAUGAAAUCUAUCAAGUUUUGAAUAAAAUACAUCACCGGAUUAUCAAAACUUAAAGAAAUCCUGAAGAAAUCUUGUAAAUCUUCGCGUCAAUCCUUGUUCUUGCUUUCAAAUCCUUUCCAAAAUGAAUGUUUUUACCUCCCAAUUCGUUCCUCUUGGCUUCUGGACGUUUUUUUGCUAUUUAAACCCGUCGAAAUUAGGUUACCAGAGGAGUUGCAAUUAUAUAAGGAAACUGCAAAAAUCGGGCACAAAUUAUACAUAUGCGACAGCAUAGGCAUAACCUAUGCGAUCGCAUAGGAAUAUGGAUUUUGGCGUUUUUAAUCUCUGGAGGGUUACUCGUGACCGCAUAGCUUUUCUACUAUGCGACCGCAUAGUAGAGUGAACUUCCAAAUUGAGUUAUUAUGAUCCUCAAGUGUCAUUCCUUCACUCCUUGACCUCCUCUCUUGUUUCUAGUUGCUCCAAUGUUCUAUUAUAACUUCCAAUUGGUGCUUAGCUUGAUCAAUUGCUUGAUGUGUUCGUCGGAUCAACUUUCAGAUAAUUGCAAUUUGGUCCCUGAAUUUUCAUUUUGCUCCAAUUUGGUCCUUUUUCGGGUCUUUUCUCCUGAAUUCCACUAUUUCCAUAGAAUCACCUACAUUACAUGAAUUCAACAUUUAAGUCAUGUUUGUGAUGUAAAUAAGUUUGCUAAAAGUCUGUUUACUAUAGUUCGAAGAAAAUGCAUGUUUUGUGAGAAUGAUAUGUUUUCAUGUUGAUGUGGUUGAAGUAGACUUGGUCGAUGGCAAGCAAGAAUUAUGGAAUAUGUCAUUGUUGUAUACAAAGGGGACAUAUGCUACCAGAAUGCCCGAGAAAGAGAAGCUGUCCAAAUUUUGGUUUGAGUUUCAUCAAAUGGAUGGAGGUUGGAAAGAACAAUGACCAUAAAGGGCUAUUGUUCCAUUGUUGCACUAACGACUUUAGGUACUUCAAGUGGUGUAACAAAUCCCUUGACGAAAGUGUCUGUUGCAUGAUGAUGGUGAAUCAUGUGGUAUUAGAAAUGGAGGUGAACAGGUGGAUGAUUUGUCGUAAAUGUUAAAGACGCUCGCUAAGCUAACUGAUGAAAAAGACUUGAAGAUCUCGCUCAAAAUAAAUAUGCGUAAAGGAAAACAAGAUUUGGAGAAGGAAAACUGAAUAUGUCGUGUAUUAAGAUGGUUUAGGAUGGUGAUGACAAAAAUGACUCUUGAGAAUUGUUGUUCAAGUGUUUAUGUAUGAUAUGCUGGUAGUCAUAUGUAAUUUGAUCUUGAAAAAAAUUGCAUUGAUGUUCAACGAGCUUCUCAAGGUGUCAACUCUCUUGUAUUUUGUCCGUAAUCUUAAUGAAGUACUUAUCUAUUUCUUCCAGCCAAUUAUGUCAACUCUUAGUGUUUCCAUUUCAGAUUCAUGUUUUAUAUUUAUGGUGCAUUAUUUUCUGUACAUAUAACCUGUCAUUGCCCAAAUAGUGAAUUGGUAAUUUUUGUCAUUACCUUCAAUGCAAUUUUUGUCUCUGUUAAUUGCAACCGAACGUGGGAUGCACAUAAUAAGAAACAUUGCAUUAGAAAGAGAGCAUAUGGUCUAACAUUGUUGCUGUCAUAUAUAAUGCAAGAGUCAUCUUGAUAGCUAUAAGAACUUCAAUGUUAAGUAAAAAGUUGACAGAAAUAGGCAAACAUAAAUAUCCAAAAGUUGAAGCCUAGCGGUAAAACACAUAUAGUCGUCAAGUUCCUAUGUUUGGAAAGAAAACUACGAGACUUCAGAAUAUGAAACAUAAGAAAAGUAAAAGACUUCAGAAUAUGAAGGAUACUUUUUUGCAGGGAGCCCAACAAAACAAAAAUAAAAUGUACAAAAAAUUCAUUUGCCAACCUAUUAAGUUACAUUGUAGGAAUUAAAUAGUAGUCCCCUUGAUGAACCAGCGUCUUGAGAUUUUAUUGCAAUAUCAUUUGCAUGAUCUUGAUGAUCCAUUCCUGAACUCGGAUUCUGAACAAGAGUACAGCGACCUCCAGCAAUAGUAGCAUGUGGAAUGGUCUGGGCGGGACUGGACAUCCAAUCUGCUAUGUUGGGUGGUGAAGGCAAUGUCUGAAAUGACAUUUAGCAUGUUGUUAUUGCAAGUACACUGGAGAAUCAUAUGAAAUUAACUAUUUGUAAGGAGAAAAGUUACACUACUUACACCAUGAAAUCCAAGAGGAAAAACACCCAUUGCGGAUGGUGUCAUUUCAAUUGUGUUCCAACAUUGUACGACAAAUUGGGACAAUAGUAUGGCAUAUUAUUCCCUAACAUAAACAUGAAAAAUUUGGACAUAUGAUAAAUACACAUUUAGAAACAUGUAAAUACAAAUUGGAAAGACUAUACUCACUGGGAUAUUUGAACAAAACAUUCGAUGUCCCCGCCCAAAAGGUUAUUUUCAAAUAACAUGGCACCCAACAACCCCUGUUCUCAAACAACCCCGACAACCAAUCAUUCUCAUGUAAGUCAUAGGUAUCAAGCAUAGCUUUCCAACCUUCUUCGAAUUCCUCAACGACCUGUGUAUCAUACACUAAGCCGUGUAUAGACGAAAAAAUGGAGCCCUUCCGAACGUGGUACCCAAACUUCUCCAACAACUUUUUCAAUAUAUGCUACAAACACCAUCUAUGCCUCGUGUUUGGAAAGACUAUCGCAAUUGCAUUUUGCAUAGUCCUAUCUUGAUCGGUAAUAAUUCCAUUUGGUACUUGACCAUGCAUACACUGCAUCCACGUCUUGAAUAGCCAAACAAAUGUAUCUGUAUCUUCAUUUGCCAGCAAACCACAUUCAAGGAGUGUUGAUUGUCCAUGAUGAUUUACUCCAACGAAUGGGGCAAAAGACAUGUCGUAUUUAUUUGUGAGAUAAGUGGUAUCAAAUGUCACUAUAUCCCCAAACUCCUUAUACGCUUGCCAACACCUCUUAUCUGCCCAGAAAAGAUUCCUAAGCCGUAACUCUUCAUCUAAAUCCAUACAGAAGUAAAAACUUAGGCACUAUGCUUGCAUUUGUGAAAAGUAGGAGUGUAUUGCCGCGGCAUCCCCUUCACCGAGUCUCAAUUGUCUCGCUCGUCCAACAUAAUUUCGACAAUCCUUUUCCACGCAAGUCAUGUUCUCAUACCCGCUCGCUUCAAACACUGCUGAGUUGUAACUCUUGUGCAGAGGUAUUCCAGUCAUAUCGUUUACUUCGAGCUUGCGUUUGACAUUUGCACUCAAUUCUCGAUUGCAACGAUACAAUAUAGAUUUUGAAGGACUAGUUUUAUGAUUGUGUUUGAGAUCAACUGUGAGAAUUUUCCAUAUUCCACGAAUAUCUAAAGAAGCCGUAAGUCUUGCUUUGCAACCUGUCUGAAUUGUUGGAUGCGGCUUCAAAGAAGCACUUGUAUUAUUGCUUCUUCGACCUUCACGACAACAUGUCAACGUAACGUAAUUCACUACUCCAUCUUCUCCCUUUCUAGAAUUCCUCCUCCUAACCCAAAAACCUACGUCAUACGCAUACCUCCUAUAAAACUCAGACACCUCUUUCUCAUCUUUGAACUCCAUACCAACUUUAGGCACAAUUACGCCAUUCCUCCUAAAAUUUCAUCGUCUAAUGUGACGAAAUUGUCUGUAUUGUUGACGAUAUUCUCCAUAUUGUUGUCAUUAUUGGAUUCUACUAAACUUCAUCGUCCAAUACUUCCACAACUUUUUUUCCUACAUCAUAUUGAAUGACAAUAUGAAUUUUGAGUGUUGAUCAAAUGUUCAAGGAAAUCUUGCUUCAAUAAUAUUAUAAAUGAAACAAUAAAGUUGCCCAAGCAGUGAAAAUGCAUAGGUUUCGAAAUAGUGCAUCUUCAAAAAAUUACAAUGACAUUACCUUUCUCCGUCAUUCCUUCCAUCCCUAUGCCACCAAGUUGUUUCCAGAUUCUGUACACAUUUUCGACAAUAUGAUCUUAAUGGACACUAAUUUAAAAAAUAAAAUAAUAAUAAUAAUUCCAAUGCAAACAUAAUAUUUUUUACUCUGUUCCGGAUAAAAGAAGAUGUCGAAAUGGGUAACAUUCCUAAUUUUCAAAUCAUUACAGUGAGAAUAAUCUACAGUGAAAAUCUGCAGCAUUUUGUGUCGAAAUGGGUAAUGUUCCUCAUCAAAAUAAUUACCUAUCACAAGUGAAGUAGCUGAAUCCCCGUCAGAAGAAACUAGUUUCGUUGCAUCGUCGCGGUCUCCUUCAGCCGAAACUCUUAGGUGAAUCGAAAGGUUUAAUGCUCGGGUUAACGAAGGAAGCAUGUGGACGGAAUAUAUUUUGGUGGAACAAGUUCUUACCUUCAAUCCCGCACUCAGUUCGCCGAUUUUUGUCCAAAUUUUGGUGGAAAAUUUCGAAGUGUUUUUCUCUGAUUUUUACCUCCCUGUGUGCAAGGGACAACAAAACCUAGUUACCCUCUGCUGUUUAGAAUAUUCAACAGUGUAAAAGACAAAUAUGACUUUCCCACCAAUUUUAAGUGGUCACGUGACCAAAAAUUUCAAAAAGUUGUGCACAGCAGUGUACAAGAGGCAUUGUUGUAAUGCACAAUAUAUCGGAUGAGGCAGACUAUAUGUACAAAAGGAGGGGCCACGGAUCCCCUCUAGAUAUUACAAAGCAUGGGGUGAUUUUUUUUUUUUUUUUCAACAAAAUAUUCAUAUGGGUCCACCUUUAAGUGAGAAUUCUGUAAGCUUUCUAUGAAGGCUGUUUCUGGAUGCAAAGAGUUGAUGAUGUAGGAAUUAGAAUUAGACAACUGUCUCUCCUAUUCAUAAAUUUGACAUACUUAUUUGAUAAAUAAUCAUGACUUUUAAUUUAAGUUAAUUCAACACUCAAUAGUUUAUGGAUCUCAAGUUGUCAUAACAAAUUCUCACAUGAUCUUAGUGAAAUACAUAUUGAGCAUUGGUUUUAUUUGAAUUAAAUGUCAUGAUUAUUUGUCAAAUAAACGUGUCAAAUUUAUGAGUAAGGGGAACGAUUUUUUAUAUCGUACUAAUAUGAAUUAAUCUAUUAGUACAAUCAUGCUUGAUAAUAAUAGUUGAUAAUGUUGAUUUUGUCAAAAUUCAAGCCAUUGAUUUAAAAAUAAAUAAAUAAAUAAAUUUGAAAUGGAUGAAUGUGAUAUUGCCAAGUAUAAGUUGUUAACCAAAAUUGUCAAACUUGAUUGUAUAUGUAGCAUAAUUCAACUAAUAUAUACAAAAUGUUCACGUAGUUUUUUUACAUUACAAAAAGUUAUUUUUUUAUUGAAAAAAUAAGUUAGGUCGGGCUAGUCCAACAUACCAACACUAAGGUCGUUUGAGUCCCUUUUUUGGUUUAGAAUGCAUUUUAAAAUAGUAAAUAAAUGCGAAAAAAGUUACCCCUGUUUGAAAGAAUUUUUUGGAAAGACCAAAUUUUUGAAUAACAAAUCUUAAAUUUUUGGGAGAAUAUGUGAUUAAAAAUUAGAGAAAAUUUUAGCUUUAUAUGAAGAAUAUUUCAUUUUGAAAAUGUGUAAUUGAAAAUGAAUAUGAGAAAAAAAUGUUUGAAAAGAAUAAUUAUUUGUUACUCGUAGCCCUUGUUUGACACCCAUUAUAAUGGGAAAUUUUGGUAAAAUAUAUUAUGGAAUAGUAGUUUUUGGGAGAAUGUAUGAUUAAAAAGAAAGAAAUUUUUUAUUACAUAUGAUAUUAUUUUAUUGAAAAAUGUGUAAUUGAAAAGAGAAGAAAAAAAUAUAUAUCAACCCUUGUUUAAGCCCCAUUUUUUGAAAAAAAUAAAUAAAUUCUUUAAUAGUAUUUUGACCACAUUUCAACCACACAUUUUUCAAUAAAAUAAUAUUACAAGCAGACCUAAAACUUUUCUUUAUUUUUUAACAACACAUUUUCCGUCAAUACACUAUUCAAAAAUUCAUUUUUUUGAUAAAAAUGGGGCUCCAACAAGGGGUAUAAUUUUAAAGGGUGUCGUACACUGCUACCCUCUCUCGAUCAUUUGAGAGGUAAUUGUUUUGAAAAUUGGCUUGUAAAUUAAGGACAAAUCUACAGCAACAAAGGCGAUGACAUAGGACUUGACCAAAUACACACAUACAUAGGAGGUCGGCAUUUUUUUAUUCAAAUGGCACCCGCGGCAAUGUGUGAGGAUGUCACCCCAUUGGUCGAACAUUUUCGGGUACUCCGGCAAAAUUCAUAAAUUAAGCCCCCGCUUUAUAUAAAUUAAAAUCAUGAUUUUAAUUUAAAUCAAAGUCAAGAAUUAAUUUUAAUCACACAUUUUAUGGAAACCAAGAAUUUUUUGACAACCCAUUUCAUCAACAUUUAUAAAAAUCUGCUAAAGAUUUGAUUUUAGUCUCCACCAAACAUGGGUUAAAUGAAAACAAAUUUUAGCAUAAAAAAGUAUUAGUUCAAUCUAUUCUAAAGUUCUGUUUUUUUUUUCUUUUAUUAACAUUAAUUGAACUAAAUUUCGAUUUCUUUGAUUCAAUUAGUUGUUCUUGUCAAUGGUAAAAAAUAACACGACAUUUUUUGAUCAACAUAUAUAGAUUUAACUGAACAAAAAUAUUAUAAUCUCGGAGUUUAGUAAUUGUAAAGAGAGAUUUUUUAGGUUUGGAUCCCUUCUCAUUCACCUUUUGUCCCUUUAUAUAGGAUGAUGGACUAAAGCUUAGUGUCCUAAUUAUCUUAAGCAAUAAUAGUCGUGACUUAGGAUUGUGUGCAACUCCUCGUUUGAAAAAAUUCGAUUGGUGUGAGUUCGAUUGAAACUAAGUUAUGAUGACAUUUAGGCUUUAGGCUUGUACCUAAGCCAUCAAGUCAUCUUCCUAAUUGGUAGAGUUGUUGGUGCUAUUGUCAUAGAGGAGCACUUUCUCUACGGGGUCAUACGAUAUAUGACGUCUUUCAUAGUUUGACUUCGACUUCUGUUGGGAUAUUGGGUCAAAGUGUCAAGUUGACCUGUUUGGACUUUUUGGUAGGGAGACUCUUUCAACCAAGUCAAAGGAAGCUCUCGAUUCAUCUGAUGUGAUUUUUUAAGUCAACAACAACAGUUCUAUUUCGGUUCUUAUUACAUUGAGAGCAUGUUUCACCAUUAAUGCUGGUCAACAUGGACUGGACUUGUGGGGGCCGUGUUGGAAGACAUCUCAUAGUGAAGGAAAUGUCUGUGUGUAUAAUGUGGAGCCCCCUCAUGUGAGGGGGCUAUGAGGCUUGGUGUACAGCGCUAGCACUGCUCCAUAGUGAAUGACAAAUUUUUUAGCCCAACAAUUAAGAUACAUAAAAGAAAACUGUUGUCUAAUAUAAAAAAAAUAUAUGGCUCAUUGGCUAUUAUCCAAGGAACAAUCUCAAAUAGCAGGUAUAAAAUGAGAUCAGAACAACUAAUGAAAAAAAGCCCAUUUUGGAAUACCAUGAACAACUCAUAAAUUUUAGGACGGUUCCGUUAUCCCAAAAUAACUCAAAUUUUAGGACGGUGCUGUGCACAUAGCACCGUUCACAUCCCCCUCACAUGAGGGGGCCCCUUCUGUGAGGAGGUUGUACCUUGUCCAAUCCGACGUGGACUGUACAAGGAGAAAAACCCUAAAUUUUAUCACUUGUCUCUCUUAAUAUUAUACUGUCAAAUCCAGUCCAAUUAAAAAGACCAAAAGCCACAAAAAGUCGUCUCAAAUACCGUGAAUUCAUUGUUAGUGAAACAAUUCUUUUAUGUUCCAAAUCAUUCAAUAGAAGCAUAUUGAGAAUUACUGUUUAGCAGAGGGAAAAUGCAGCACCAUAGAGGGAUAGUUUAAGCAAAUAAUGUUACUAAUGCCAAGCAAUAUAAACAAUAUAGUACUGUCGAAUCAUUGAUAAUCUCCUCUCUUUACAAGAAAUUCUCAUGGCAUACUGCAGGAAUUGCAUGAAAAUGCAAAGUUGGCGCUCCCACCCUUAUCCAUGAAUUAGAAAAGUAACCCAAAAAUGUUGAAGGGAAGUGAAAGAAGACGACAAAAAGAAUGCAAUUACAAACAACUUAAUUCUUCGAUUCAUAUUGUUAGCACAAGCUAGUAUCCAUCAAGAAAGAUGUGUUCUAACUCAUUUGUCCUUUGUUCAUAAAGAAUAAUGAUUGAAUAGAAAACCAUAGCAACACCGUAUAAACAUUGUUUUCAAUGCUCACCCGUCAAUCUCUCCUUCCGCUUCUCGAGUAGUCCAUUCUAAUUCCCCAGAGCUGCUCUGCAACUGAUUUCAUGUCUGGACGAUCAGUUCGUGUAGGUGCCACACAUUGGAUGGCCAAACCAAACAUUUUCGCCAGUAUUUCUUUAUCUACUGUUUCCUUCAUCAUAGGGUCUAAAAUCUCCAAAACUUUGCCUUCAUUAUACAUCCUGAAAGCCUAUAUAAACAUUGUGUAUGAUGAGUUCCACGAAUCUUUUCUUUAUUCAAAAAUUAAACUGAAACCAGCCAUUUAUUCCAUAUUAGCUGGUUCAAAGACUUAGUUCGAGGGAACUAUGGAAUAUGGAUGCACAUUGGUCGUAUGUUCUGUUUUUGGGGGACUGGGUUGGUUUAUGACAUAAUUAGUACAUUAAAGAGAAGCGGGGAAAAUACAUAAAGUCUUCAUGAAAAUACGGAAAUGGCCAGGCGGGGUGGGUUUGUAGGAACUUUUCUGAAAAAAUAACCUUAAGAAAAGAUUUAAAUUUCGGAAAUUAAGCUUAAAAGGAUAACAGCUCAAACAAUAAUAAAUCAUUCGCCAUGACUUUGCAACGAUGAAUCCCCAAGAGGGUAGGCAGUCAGUUCAUUAACUACAGAUUUAAAUUGCAUUUAUAGCCAAAACCCUUGUAAUAUAUUCUUUUGCAAAUCAUCUCUUUGCUUAUUUCUCUUCAGUUGUCCCCCUCUUUCUGCUUUCUCAAAUGACAGUAAGAAAUCGUUUACAUGUAAGAAAACAAGCAUCCCAAAUUCCCAAUAAUGAAGUCAAGUAUCAGAACAGAAAUAUGAUGAAGACUUAUUGGUUCAUAUUCUCCACGUAACACAGGUUUUACAUAAUGACUAAUGCAAAUAAUCUUGUCAAGUAUAAAGAGUGAAAAGCUUACCCAUUUAAUUGUCACCCUGUCAUUGAGUGGUCUCUUCAAAUCCAAAGGUCGACGACCAGUUAAAAUUUCUAUUAACAGUACCCCAAAUGAGAAUACAUCACUCUUCGAUGUGAGUUGAUAUGUCAUCAUAUACUCUGGAUCAAGGUAACCAACUGUGCCCUUUACUUGGGUUGAAACAUAUGUUUUCUCAGAGUCCAUCUCACCUAUCCUUGCAAACCCGAAAUCUGCAACUUUGGCUCUCAUGCUGUCAGUCAAAAGAACAUUCGAGGACUUCACAUCUCUGUGGAUAAUUUGCUUCUCUACAUAAAAUCCAAAGAGAAUAGCCAUGAACCACAUGAAAAUAGAAAAUAAGGACAAUGACAUUAAAAUAGACAAAGUUGCAUGAAAAUUUUAACAUGACUAUACUGUGAAGCAGAAAUUACAAGGAGAAUUUAAGUGAGCAUGUUUGGAUGAGCUUUAAAUUUUACUUAUAAGUAAACAAGUACCAUUAAAAAUAAAUAAUUUUUUAUUGGUUAAAGUUGAAAAUAAAUAAGUUAUGUAAGAGCUAUUUUAAAAAAUAACUUAUUUGUUAAAAGAAAGAAAAAUAAUAAUUAUCCAAACAUGUCUAUAAACAAACUUUUACAUUUUUCUCUUUUAAGGUGAACCUUUCCCCCCAUGGAGCUCUCCCCACAAUCCAAACUAACCCAGCCACCACACCACCACACUACCGGCGCCGACGACCAACUGACCGGUAGGCACCACAUAACCGACCUCACACCACAAAUCAGCCCCCCCAACCACUCUCUUUACACACAAGUGCAGUUAACUGUUGGAAACCCUAGCGCCGCCCAGCCGAUUCCGCUAGAUCCGGCCACACUUUGAGAAAACAGGCCUCACCGGCGGCCUCUGCAGGGACCGACGACCCCUGCCGGUGUUCUGCCCCCCACACGUGCCGCUCCAACUGCGCGUGUGGUCCACGCGCCGCCGUAGGGAAACCUGUAGCGGCAGCCUGCUGCUCCAAGAACAAUCGGCUUGUCCGUUCCUCCGUUUGAUGAACUGCUUGUACACAAUUAGGGGGAAAAAUUGGUGGAUGUGCGUAGUAUGGUAUUCAAUCAUCGUUUCAGAGUGGAGGCGAAGGACUUCGCAGUAUCUAUUAAUGAUUCUGGCACUGUUAAGUUGACAGGAUGGGGUUCAAAGUUUUCGUAUUCAAUCUUUAUGGGAAGGUAUGGUUCUAUUUGGAUAGUGAAUAUGGUAGACAGAUUGAGGAGAAGUGAAUUUGAGGACUGUGUUUUUAAAUUUAACGAGUCUUCAAUAGUUUUCUUAGCACAACGGUGUGUGAACCGUUGAGGUAGAUAUUUGAUGAUAGCACAAUAUGGGGAGAGGCGUCGAAAAGGAGUUGUCAUGAUACCAGAAGGUGCAAAUGGAGAGGGAUGGAAGUCGGUCUUACAGGUGUUUCAAGCAGUUGUUGCCUCAUUUGUUGCUAGGGAUAAGGCCAAACGACAAACGGUGAAUGAACGAAACAAACGAAGGAUGACUUAUGCAGAAAUUAUAGCAAACUCUCAGACCUCGGAGAAUGCCAACCAACGGAUGCUACAGCAAAAUGAAAGGACAAAUAAAGUCGGUGAUAACGAAGGUCACGACAUUUAUUUGAGUAGGGCUGAAAUAAUGACCCGUGCCCAGGAGUUGAAAGGAACAUUGGAUGAAUUACUUAGGCUGGUUGGAAGCGGGCCUGAAAUGGAGCCCAUGAAAUUGGUACGCUAUCGCAAGUGUGGGGUUGAGUUGGAUGAGGAUCAAACUGGUGAAAUACACGUACCGGGAUUGACUCAUAAGGAACUAUCAUCAAUUACAGAACAUGAAAAGCAGGGAGGAGAUGAAUAUUGUGAUUCUCAGGAGAGGAUGGAAGCGGGAUACCAUAAAAAUGAUAACAGGGUUGACUUUGUGGGGGUCAACCGGAAUGAAGUAGACAUGGGGAUUGCAGCUGAACGAGAGGUGGAACCACUGUCUAAGGAAGGGGAGUUUAGUAUGGUGAACUUGGAGAAAUUGACAAUGAACAUUGUGAAAGAAAACAACGCUACACAUUCGACAUCAAGAAUUACGAACACUUAUAAUAGGAGGACAAAAGAUAUGGGUAGAUGGUGCCAAGAAAGGAGAAAGCGACAGUGACAUUAUACCAGUGGUGGAAGAGAAAGAACGGUCCUUUGAUCAUCUCGUGGGUUAUCAGGGUGAGGAUACUUCAGAAGCUGAUGUGUUAGAAGUUGGUCACCCACCUUCGAACUGGGUUCUAUAAAAAAUUCAGGAAUUCAGUAAGUUGGUUGGCGUGUCAUGUGAUGGGUAUGAAAAUAGAUUGUUACAAUUAUUCGAGGAGCUGAGGCUAAUAGGAGACAAGACAUCAGUAUACAUGGAAGUAAAUUAAGAAGAAAGGGUGAUCGCGAACUUAAGAGGCUCAAAUGGUCAGUAAACUAUGCUGGAAGGGUGGCGAGUCCAAGAAAGGAACAAUGGGGAGGGGUUACGGAGUGUUACAAUGAUGCCAAAACUCAUUAGCUGGAACGUAAGGAGGCUCAAUGAGGUUAGUAAAAGGCUUGGUGUUCGACAUUUGCUAAGGGGAUGGGGGGCAAAUCUUGUUUGCCUACAAGAAACUAAGAUGGAGUUUAUCUCGAGGGCGGUGAUUCGUAGUUUAUUGGGGGAAGGGGGGGGAAUCAUGUAGGAUAUCAGUUUUUGGGGUUAUCAGGGGUUUCAGGAGGCGUGUUGGUGAUGUGGGACACUAGAGUGCUUGAGAUGAAGGAGGUGAGUAUAGGGGUGUUCUCUAUAGCGAUUUCUUUCAAAAAUUGCGAGGAUGGAUUUCAGUGGAUGUUCACAGGAGUUUACGGGCCUAAUUCAGAUGACAGUAGAGUGGGCUUGUGGGAUGAACGGCUGGAAUGAGGGCUUGGUGGAAUCUCCCUACAUCUAUUGGGGGUGAUUUCAAUGUGAUUCGAUUUCCUUCGGAGAGGUCGAGUGGUGGGAGACUAACUAGGGCAAUGGAGGAGUUCUCAAAUUUUAUUAGGGAGAAUUUGUUGGUGGAUUUACCCAUGAUUGGGGGAGAUUUUACCUGGUCAUCCAAUCGGGAUCGACCCGUUUUGUCUCGUAUUGAUAGGUUCUUGAUUUGUGGGGAGUGAGAGUCUAAAUAUUCAGAUGACACUCAGAGAAGAUUGGGGAGGGUGUACUCGGAUCAUUUUCCUAUUAUGCUAUCGGGGAAUAGAAGGGGUGGUGGAAGAAGACCUUUCAGGUUUGAGAAAAUGUGGUUGAAAGUAGAAGGAUUUAGGGAGCGAGUACAGACGUGGUGGACUUCCUAUGAAGUCAGUGGGUCUCCAUGUUUUGUAUUGGAUCAGAAACUAAAGGCGUUGAAAGGGGACUUAAAGAAAUGGAAUGAGGAAGUUGUGGGCAAUGUUAACUGCAGUAAAAAUCAGUGUCUGUCAGAGAUAGAGGAGUUGGAUAGAUGGGAGGAGAGUCAAGGGUUGGCUAGGGAGGAGAAGGAGAGACAUAGAGUAUUAAAGGAAGAGAUGGAGAGAUUGGUGGAGAUGGAGAAGAUUACUUGGCGACAGAAACCUAGAGUUACUUGGUUGAAAGAGGAGGAUAAAUGCACUAAGUUCUUUCAUAGGGUCGUCAAUUCUAAUAGGAGGAACAACUCCAUCACAAUUUUGGAGGUGAACGGGGUUACUUAUGAGGAACCAAAGGAAAUUGGAAGCCAACUGGUGAAUUUUUAUCAGAACCUCUAUCGGGAACAAUUUGAAUGGAGGCCAAAAUUGAAGGGACUGCACUUUUCUACAAUCACUGAGGAUGAUGCCCGAUGGAUGGAGAGACCAUUUGGGGAGGAUGAAAUUAAGGAGGUAGUAUUCAGUAUGAACGAUGAUAAGGCUCCGGGACCAGACGGUUUCUCAUUCUCAUUCUACAAGGCGUGUUGGGAUGUGGUUCGACCGGACAUUGUGAAUACUUUAUCUUAUUUUUUUGAAUGUGGCAGAUUCCAGAGAAGUUCUAACGCCACAUUUAUUGUGCUCAUCCCUAAGAAAUCGGGAGCGACUGAUAUCAAGGACUUUCGCCCCAUUAGCCUUGUCAGCGGGGUGUAUAAGAUUAUUUCAAAAGUCCUGGCAAACAAAUUAAAGGAAGUGCUGGGAAAAAUAGUGACCAAGUUUCAGAAUGCAUUUGUAAAAGGGCGUCAGAUUUUGGACUCUGUGCUUAUAGCGAAUGAAUGCAUAGAUUCAAGAAUGUGCCUAAGUGCCCCAGGGAUGCUUUGUAAGCUAAAUAUUCAGAAGGCUUACGAUCAUGUAAAUUGGGGAUUCUUGUUGUAUAUGCUCAGGCGCUGUGGCUUUGGGGAUAAAUGGUGUAAAUGGAUUCAAUUCUGUGUUUCUACUGUUUCAUUCUCAGUUUUGGUCAACGGAACACCUGAGGGUUAUUUCCGAGACAAGGGGAUCCAUUGUUCCCAUUGUUAUUUGUCAUUGUGAUGGAGGCCUUCAGUACGAUGAUUGAAAGAGCCGUGAGAGCGGGUUUGAUAAGGGGUUUUAUGAUUGACCAACUGUAGGUGUCCCAUCUGUUAUUUGCAGAUGACACGUUGAUCUUAUGCGAUGCAGAUGUUGAACAAUUCAGUAACUUACGCCGUCUGCUCUUAUGUUUUGAAGCGGUGUCUGAUUUGAAAAUCAAUUUGGGAAAUUCUGAGGCUAUUCCAGUUGGAGAGGUCAAUAAUGUUGAGGAGCUGGCUGAUAUAUUGGGUUGUAAGGUUGCGCAGUUGCCGAUAUCAUAUCUAGGACUCCCGUUAGGGGCACGAUUUAAAAGUACCCAUAUCUGGAAUGGUAUUGUGAAAAGGAUGGAGAGAAGGUUAGCAGGGUGGAAGUGUAUGUACUUUUCUAAGGGAGGUAGACUUACUCUCAUUAAAGCCACUCUCUCCAAUCUCCCUACUUAUUUUUUGUCAUUGUUCCCCAUUCCGAUUGCAGUGGCAAAGAGAUUAGAGAGACUUCAAAGAGAAUUUCUGUGGGCAGGGUUGGGGGAGGAGAGGAGACUCCAUUUGGUCAAUUGGGGAGUUGUUUGUUUGCCGAUGAGGAUGGAGGGUCUUGGGGUGAGGAGCUUUGUGUUGUUCAAUAAGGCCUUAUUAGACAAGUGGUUGUGGCGAUUUGGAGUGGAGAGGGAAAGCUUCUGGAGAGAGAUAAUUGGGGUGAAGUAUGGUGUGACGGAGGGGAGAUGGUGUACAUUUGAGGAUCAUGGUUCUUAUGGGGUGAGUUUGUGGAGGUAUAUCCGACGGGGAUGGAGUGCUUUUUUGGACAAACUGAAGUUUAUGGUCGGAAAUGGUAAUGAGAUUAAAUUCUGGGAUGAUUGUUGGUGUGGAGAUCAACCGUUGAAGGAGAGAUUCCUUCCUUGCAUCGCAUUGCCUCAGUGUCCACUGCUAUGGUAAGUGAUCUCUUAGACAUUCAUAAUGGGAGCUAUAGUUGGAAUAUUACUUUUGGGAAGGAUCUUCAGGAUUGGGAAUUGGAAGAUUAUUCGCUGUUUAUGACCUUUUUACAUGAGGCACAAAUUCGGGUUGGAGAGAGGGAUUGCAUCAGGUGGAGAACAGCACAGGAUGACAUUUUUUCAGUUCGCUCGUACUUUAAUUCCCUCAUGUGAUGUGUGAAUAAUUCAUUCCCCUAGAAGUUGGUGUGGCAGUAUAAAUUGCCUCCUCGGGUGGCAUUCCUAUUGUGGACAGUUGUGAGGGAACAGGUCUCAACGGUGAAUAAUCUUCGACGUAAAGACUUUUACGCAACCGAGUGGUAUUAUAUGUGCAAGAAGGAUGGGGAGACGAUCGAUCAUUUGUUCAUAUAUGUGAUGUUGUACGUUGGAUUUGGAAUAGUAUACUUAGUUCUCAAUUUAUGGAUUGGGUGAUGCCUCGUCGUAUAGAGGACGUGAUACGGGCAUGGCGGAGAAAAUUUCGUGAUAAGGAUAGCAAACUAGCAUGGCACCUUAUCUCGGGCUGCAUUGUAUGGUGUGUGUGGAGAGAAAGGAACAACCGUUGCUUCGAAGACCAAACAAAGACAUGAGAGUAGAUAAGAGAAACAUUUUACUUUACCUUGUAUUCUUGGUUUAAUGCUGUGGUUAGAAAUCCUGUAGAUGGGUUGCCUAAUUUCAUGUUAUUCCUUAAUGGCUUAAAGUGAGCAUGGCGGAGAAAAUUUCGUGAUAAGGAUAGCAAACUAGCAUGGCACCUUAUCUCGGGCUGCAUUGUAUGGUGUGUGUGGAGAGAAAGGAACAACCGUUUCUUCGAAGACCAAACAAAGACAUGAGAGUAGAUAAGAGAAACAUUUUACUUUAUCUUGUAUUCUUGGUUUAAUGCUGUGGUUAGAAAUCCUGUAGAUGGGUUGCCUAAUUUCAUGUUAUUCCUUAAUGGCUUAAAGUGAUUGUAGACCCCUCGUAUAUUCUCUUUUAAGUAAUAAAAUUAUUUGAUUACCUAUCAAAAAAAACAUUUUUCUCUUUUAAGCUUAGCCAAAGUCUAGAUAAUGUUAUAAUGCACAUCAUUGAAAAUCAGGGAGUAAAUUCAUGAUUCAAAACAGCACUUUAAGGAUCAAGGCCCUAAUUGUAGUUCUCUAGGUAAUAAAAUGGUAUUGGUGCAUAGAGCAUCAGUAGUUUUCAGUUUCAUGAUAGAAGUUGAUCUUCGUGAUAAAAAUUUACGGAAGCAAAAUAAACUCUACAGAAAGAGCUAUCACCUGCAUAUUGAUGGAGAUAGGUUAGGCCAUGAGCAACAUCAAUAGAUAUUUCAAGUCUCUGACAGAAAUCCAAUAUCUUUCCCUUCCGUCCUACAAAGGAAAUCAGCCAAAAUAUUGCAAUUAUACUCGCCUGACUAUAAUAUUUGUGAGGUUUCAAGGGUUUUAAGAGAUAUACCAUCUAGAUGUUCUCUAAGUGUACCAUUUGGCACAUACUCUGUAAUAAUCAGACGCUCAUCUCCAUUAUCAACAUAACCAAGCAGCUUGACGAGAUUCCGAUGAUCAAUUUUAGCCAGAAGUUCAACUUCACUCUUAAAUUCAGUCCGCAAUGCUUCAAAGUGUUCCUUCUUUUUUUCCCCAACAAUUAAACAUCAUUUACCGAAUUAUAUGUUGCAAAAAGAAAAAGGGAAGAGUUUGAAUAAAGAAACUGGCUUAAUUCGUCUCUUUAGAAGAAAAUUGUCUACCCCAGUUCCACUUUGAUUUUCUCUGCAAUUCCAAUUUGAUCAUUUCAUUUUAUUACAGAAACCAGAAGUGAGUUAACACAGCUACACUUCCUUUUACCUUGGAGGGACCUCUAAAUUCUUUCUACACAUUAUUUUUAGCCGGUCUCAAGCUCGGGUUAAAGAGGAGGGCUGCAGUAUAAAGACAACCAGCAUAAAACUUUGUUAAACCUUGUGGCAUUAUUAUUUUUAGCCUAAACAUUUAAAUGAAUUCAAGACUCCAAAAUUCAGUUCCCAUUCUUCAUUUUCUAUGCAACUGGUGGACCCCAACAUAGAUCUCUUUUAGCUUAGAAUUAUAGUGAAAAUAUCUACAAAUAACACAUAAAAUGUAAAAACUAAGUACAUUUUCAGAUCUUGCAUCACUCUUGGUUCUCACAUAACAGAGCAAAAUCUUCUUGUAGAAUGUUCAAUAAAGUGAAUGAACAAUCAUUCUUUAUAACAAUUGUUAAUGUCCAAAACGUCUAUGUUAAUUAUUGAAAUCACAAUUCUAAAAUUCCCAUAUUCAGAGAGUGAAAGCUCAAUGGUAAUGUUUUCAAGUUCUCAUUCACGUUCUUAAGUAAAUGAAAUGAGAAUUCAGGCUUCUUACAAUUAGAUUCCACAGUUAAAUAAUAAAAUAAUUGCUACUAAUUGUAUGCAAAAUAUAUAAAAAAAUUCCACAGUUAAAUAAUAAAAUAAUUGCUACUAAUUGUUUGCAAAAUAUAUAAAAAAAAAAAGGGGAAAAAUCAUUGAAGUUAAAUUUAUUACAAUGCUCAAGUUUAACCACACUCAACUUCAUAUUGAUAGCCCAGCAUCCAUUCUCAUAUAUAGUUGCUGUUCUUCUUGCCAUUGAAUUAGUCUUUCAAUCUUGUUGGAACCAUUCACACAUUAAACCCAAUGGGCCUUAACCCUUCUAAAUAACAUCAUUGUCACUUCCUUUUUUUCUCGUUAAUCAUUAAGCAAUAAUAUUGGCUCACCAUGCCUUUGGAAAAACAAUGUUAUGAGAAAUUAUUUCAGAAGCUGCAAACUCAAAGUUUAGAAAAAGAAUCAGAAGUAUACCUUUUUUGCCCGUUUGAUGGCAACGACGAGGCCGUCUGGUAGCUUGGCCUUAUAGACAGCUCCGAACCCUCCUUCGCCUAUUAUUUGCGAUUGCGCGAAAUUAUGUGUUGCUCUGGCAACUUGGCUCAUAGAAAGAUGAACAUUUCCAACCUUAUUAAGUUUUGGCGACAUGGAAAAUCUUGAAGGACUAGGCGGCACUCGCAGUGGACUGGCUGGAAUCUUCUCAGAAACAGAACUCAUUUCUAAAGACGAAAUUGAAUCCACUGCAAGAAUAGUGCAGUAGAUCGUAAAUAUUCACAUACAACUAGCAGGACUAAAUGUGUGAGCAUAAAUAUACUAAUUCUUCUAUAUUGACUAUGCAUGGGUAAGCCAAAGGACUUGCAUGAUGAAAAUAUAUCUAAAUUAUAAAUAUAAGAAAGCGGACUUCAUAUGAGAAGUAUGUGUGUCUACACCAACUUAUCCACUAAUGUUACUCACUUGAAUUUGGCUCCUUGGACAGAAUAGUAUGGCCAAGUUCCCUCUUUCUUGCUUGAAAGCAAGGGCAAAGAAAGGCACAACAUAAAACAAAGAAAGCUGGUGCUGCCAUUGCCAUAAUUUUGGGGGUUAAUAUUGGGUUAUUAGCAUAUUUAUCCCUUUUCAACUGAGAUGUUUUAUCAAAAUCGUGCCCUGUAGAUCCUUCUCGAACCACAUUUCGUAAAAAUUUUCUUCCCACCUCCAAAGGCAACUUAUCUGCAUUAUGGUAGAUAAACCACUACUUAUUAGUAAAAAAAAAAAAAAAAUACAUAUAUAUAUGCAAUCUAAAUGUUUACAAAAUAUCGAAAUCUUUUCCCAGUGUGCAUCUCAUAAGGAGAUAUAUUAACAGAAAGCAGAAGGUAUGAAAAGAAAUAGCUCGAUUGGGCAAACCUAAUGAAAAUUCCAAUCCACAAUACUGAUUUCCGAUAUUUCUUGUGACCAAGCAAUGGUUCUCGUGAUAUAUUCUGAGAGCCUUGCAGAAUAAAUAUUUUUCUACCAAAUUUCCAUCAAUAUAGAACAAUUCCCGAUCAGGAUUACCCAAGUAGCUAAUGUGAUAUGUUCCACAGGCUUUUCUAUGUUGCAACAACCCAGAUGCAGAUAUUCUUGGUGAUUGCACCAACAACAGUAGACUUAAUAAAACUAAUGCCAUUUUCAGCGAAAUACAGCAAAAAUAUUGCAUCUAUCAAGGCCAAAACUUAAUGGAGGAAUCCUCAAUUACGAAGCUCCACGCAACUCAUACACUUCCCAGCUAGCCGAGUCAAAGAAUUGUAGUUUGAGCCUAAUUUGUCAUAGAAUAACUCAAUAUGCUCAUUUGAGGUUCAAUAGUGCUCUGAUCAAGCAGUAUCAGUCUCCACAAUCACCUGUAAAGUCGAAUUCAAGAAAUUCUUCAAAAAAUCAAGCUCCAAAUUGACAGAGCAAAUGAAUGCAAUAGGCACAAUUUUCUAAUUUAUAAAGUGAUGCUUCAAGACAGAGAACAUCAAAGUUCCACCAAAUUAUAAACAAGUUUCCAUCAAAUACCAAGACAUUGCAAACAUACAAAUAAGACAAAACCCGAAUCAGAGAACACGACCUAUCAAAGUUCUUCUUCCAAUUUGAAAAAGACUCCAACCCUGAUAAAAAAUCAACUAUAACUAAACAAACCAACUUUCAGAUUAAAUUCAUAAAACAGUUCAAAUGCUAAUAACAAACUCAAUUUAAAUGUAUCUAGUAUAGAUCGUGUAUUGUGUGUGUAUAUAGGUUGUGGGAGAAUGGAUCAACUAAUAAUAAUACCGGUCGAUAAUCAAACCAGAUUAAUGGAAGUUGCUGAUACACAGAAGGGAGAGUCUAUAAACAUGCAGCAAAUAUGUGUAUAUCGAGGGGCACAAUAAUGCAAAUGAAGAAUCAGGGGGGAAGUUUACAGAGAGGGGCGAUACAGGCAAGGUAGAAGUUGGAAGAUUUGCAGACUGAUGGGCUCUGGUCAAAAUUUUUUGGUCGCAUUUUUAGCCUCAUUCAACGCAUGAAAAUUGUUGACAAUUGUAAGUUGCACUGACAUUUUCUUGGUCUUCAAUUCCCGGCAAGGAUUCAGAUUUUUGGAAUAAAAAAAUGGUGUCGAUACGGUACGAUACUAGUGGGUACUUUCCGAAGAUUCAUUGGACAGGAGAUAUGGUGCAAGAAUCCAUCAUCGAUGUUGACCAAGGAUGCCCUUUAUAUUUUGGAUGAUUGGCACACAAUCUUUGUUACGUCACUCUUUUACAAAUCAUCCUAUCGUUCAAAUUUUAUAUUUUCACCUCGAGAUCAAUAUUUAUUUGCACAAAUCGCCCAUAUCAUUUUGCUCUGUUCAAUUUUUUCUUUAGGCCCCGUUUGGUAGGGAUUUUUUGACCGUUAUUUAACUAUUCAAAUCGUAAUUUUUGACUUCUUCUCUCACGUGUGGACCCCACUUUUCUUCUAACGGUCAAAAAAUCAAUUCUCAAAAUCCCUACCAAAUGGGCCCUUAAAUGAGCAAGUCUCUUCCAUCAAGUAAAGUGUCGUCCACUUAACCUCUAUUUUAUAUUUUAAUGAUAAAAAAAAUACAAAAAAUAAAAAAAGAAUAUUAAAAUAAGAAAAUAUCCAUCUCUUCUCCACCUAGGGAUGGCAAAAAGGCUCGAAAGCUCGGGCCGCCCGUGACUCGGCCCGCAAAAAGCUCGAGCCGGCUCGGCUCGAGGCUCCGGCGUGAAGUUAAAAGGCAACAGCUUAGUUCCAACUUACUUUCAUGAGAUUCAAAAAGAUUAAUUGCUGCCAGAGGCUUGUCACCUUUACCGAGAACAUGGAGUAGGAGAUUAAAUGUAUGAAAAUCAGGGGAAAAUCCAUUCCCCAUUUCAUCAAGUAAUCCGUGAAACUGAUCUAACUUCCCCAACCUAAACUUUGCAGACAUAAUGAUAUUACGAGUUUAACAUGUCUGGGAAAUGACCUGGUACUAACAUCUGUGGAUACACCCAUUCAAUCAACUUAUAUUGAUAAACUAAGAGCAUGUAAAUUGCAUUAAAUGAAUUCUUAAACGGCCUAUAAUUAAAUGUCUUUGACUUAGCCCCUGUUUGAUUCCCAUUUUUGGGAUAAAAAUGAAUUAUGGAAUAGUAGUUUUCUGGAGAAUGUGUAGUUAAAAAGUAAGAAAUUUUUUUUGAAAUUCGUGUAUAAUUAUUUUAUAGAAGAAUGUGUGGUUAAAAAUGAGUUUUAAAAAAAAUGCAUUCUUGAAAAAAUGCUUUGUAAAGGCAGCUAUCAACUACCUUUUAAGGAAAAAAAAGUGGGAAAAAACGAGCCGACUCGGCUCGGCCCGUUUUGGCUCGGGAAGGCNNNNNNNNNNNNNNNNNNNNNNNNNNNNNNNNNNNNNNNNNNNNNNNNNNNNNNNNNNNNNNNNNNNNNNNNNNNNNNNNNNNNNNNNNNNNNNNNNNNNNNNNNNNNNNNNNNNNNNNNNNNNNNNNNNNNNNNNNNNNNNNNNNNNNNNNNNNNNNNNNNNNNNNNNNNNNNNNNNNNNNNNNNNNNNNNNNNNNNNNNNNNNNNNNNNNNNNNNNNNNNNNNNNNNNNNNNNNNNNNNNNNNNNNNNNNNNNNNNNNNNNNNNNNNNNNNNNNNNNNNNNNNNNNNNNNNNNNNNNNNNNNNNNNNNNNNNNNNNNNNNNNNNNNNNNNNNNNNNNNNNNNNNNNNNNNNNNNNNNNNNNNNNNNNNNNNNNNNNNNNNNNNNNNNNNNNNNNNNNNNNNNNNNNNNNNNNNNNNNNNNNNNNNNNNNNNNNNNNNNNNNNNNNNNNNNNNNNNNNNNNNNNNNNNNNNNNNNNNNNNNNNNNNNNNNNNNNNNNNNNNNNNNNNNNNNNNNNNNNNNNNNNNNNNNNNNNNNNNNNNNNNNNNNNNNNNNNNNNNNNNNNNNNNNNNNNNNNNNNNNNNNNNNNNNNGUUAUAAAAUAAAUAAAUAAAUAAAUAAUAUUUUAAAAUAAAUAUAUUAUCAAAAAUCGAAAGAAUGAAUAAAAUAAUAAAUUACUGUUCAUUUGGUGUAAAUUUUGGUGUAAUGGUUGGAGAAGAAUUUUGGUUUGGUGCAAGAUUUAGUGUAAAAUUUGGUGCAAAAUGGUGCAAAAUUUGGUGCAGGAUUGGAGAUAGCCUUAGUUGUACCAAUCAAACCUCACAUCUCAUUGCAAUCAAUAUUCCCAAGCAGGGCCAGUGACAAGGACUUUUUACAGGUGGUAUCAACGCAACAUCUUUAUAAGUGUUUUUUUAAUUAUCUUAUGAAAUGCUGCCACGUGUCCUCCUGUAUUUUAACUCUAUCACUGACCUCGUCUUUGUAGCAUGGUUGUAUAUAGUAAUCCUCAUGUAAAGAUACACGUAAUCAUUGAGACAUACAAGAAUGUCUAUCUUGAUCGGAACUUCUUAAUCAUUGGGAUCUCUAAACACUUUCGCACCAUUUUUUUUUUCUUCCCAUGGCUGACACCAAUGUCAUCCUCACACCAAUCCAAGUUAUCUGUGAUCUCACUUCACCCUAUUCUUGAUUGACGCUGACAUCUCCAAAGCUUCUAAUCGGCAAUAGUUACCCUACAUGGCGUCGCUUCAUAUUAAUGGCUCUCAACGUAAAAAACUAGUUUUCAUCAAUGGAUCCCUCAAAGAACCAACAAAUGCUUCAAUUGAUAUAUUAUAGGAGAGGUGAUGCAAAAUGAUUCUCACUUUGCUGCUCAAUUCAACUGACAAAUCUUUCCUACAAAGCUUGGUCUACUACAAAAAUACCUUCAUGUAUGGACUGACAUUAAACCACGAUUCUCUCAGAGCAACACCGCAAACCAAUAUCGCCUCAAGCGCGAUCUCAUCAAUUUUCGUCAAGAAUCAAUUAUUGUUAGAUCCUACUACAACACCAUCAUUAAGGAGUCUUUAGGAUGAAUUACAUGCUCUCACCGAACCCAGCUCUUACACAUGUACUGCUCGCAAAAUGACAAAGAAAAAGAAGCAAUUGAACAAAUUUUUCAACACCAAAAGUCAUGUUUUAGCCUUGAAUCCUCUGUCCACAGUCACAAAAGCCUACGCCACCGUCCAUAUAGAUGAGACCUAACGACAUCUUCAUCUUUAGUUGUUGCCUAUACUAGAAAUUUAUGCCAUGGCUAGAGCUCGACCUUUUUUUUACCAAAUUUUUAAAAUCGAGCAAAAAAUGGCAAGAAGUUAUGGGGAAGGUCACCUUAAGAGAAGUAUGAUUCGAAAUUAUUAUGUACCUUGCCCAUUGGAAUACCUUCAAGCUGAAGCAAAAGAAGGUCACUCUACCGCAACAUACAAUAUUGCAAUCAUGUCACGAUCAACUUCUCCUUCUCCUUCUGCCACAAGUACAAUCCCUGGCCUCUCUGACAAGCAAUAUUGGCACAUAAUGGAUCUCCUUUGACCUUCUCACUCGAGUGGCUUCUCUAGUGGCUAUUGUUCAAUCUCUCUUGCAACUAACAUAUUGUUUCAGCUAUGGGUCAUUGACACGGGGCCUUCAACCCUUGUGUUGCCACACACAACACAUAUUAUCCCUCACUCACAAAUCGUCACUUUACUAACGAGAGCCACGAUUAAAGUCACUCAUGUGGACUGUCUUAAUAUCAUAAUUACUUUAGCUCGGUCAUUUAUUAUUUUUUCCUGAUUUUCAAUAUAAUCUUAUUUCUGUUUGUCAACUGACAAAAAAAAAAAAAAAUCAUCUUGCAUUGCCAAUUUUACUUCUCUCUGUUUUUUAAAAAACCGCACAAGAGGAAGCUAUUUGGGAUAAGUGAGGAACACAGAUGACUCUGUCAUCCCAAAAUCCAAUUUCAUAUUGCUCUUUGCACUGAAUCUUCCAUCAACCCCGUUUGCACAUUUAGGACACCCUUUCAUAUCUUGUACCCUCAAAGGCAUAUUUGAUUUGAAUAAAGAUACUCAUUGUGAUGUUUGUAUCCGUGACAAAAAUACUGUCUACUUUUGUAAAUUGGUUAAGAACAAAAGUGCAGCUAUUUGUGGUAGUUUGGCCCAUCUUAUAUGUUAAUGUGAUUGGAUGGGUAAAUUAUAGCAAAAGUCCUCUGCCUUUGAGGUAUUUAUACUCGUCCUCCACUUUUGUUAUUUAAGAAACCAUGUCCUAAACCUUUCAAAAAUUUGUGGUGUUUGUAUGGAUAAAUUCAGUCCAUUUCGGAAAAAAAAAAGGGAAAAAAAUGUCAAUCUAGCAUUAAACAACACAUGGAACAUGUCACAACUACCGUACACUUAAAAGUGGAUGGCACCAAAUUCACGUGCCUAUGUCAAGUACCAAAAGCAUGACAUACACAUUGAGUCCCAUACUGUAGCACUUUUUCUAGAAUUGAGGUCAAAUUUUGUUUUAAAUGCCAUAUAGAUGCUUUCUUUAGAUUUUUCAUAUAGAAAAUAAUGUGUUAUUUUCAAUAAAUUUGAAAUUGAUAAGAAUAAUUCUUUUUUCGUCAGAACUAUUAUCCACUUUUCCAUUGAGGCCAUGUUUGAUUGGGGUGAAUUUCGUGGAUGUUUUCCAUUUUCCAACUAUUUUGGUGUUUGAUUGCUUUUUUUCUAUGGAAUUCAUUUUCCUUGUUUUCUCGCACAUUUGCCAUUUCCUUAUUUUGGUGAAAAAUUAAUUCUCACCAAAACGUUGAAAAUUGGUUUUCUGCCAUUUUUUUUUAUUUGCAAUGAAAAUAAAUUCUAGAAACAAUUAUAUAAGAGGAUAUCCCUUAAAUUGACAAUUUUCAUGUAAACAAAGACAAACGAACACCGAAAUAUAGAUGAUUUUAUGGAUCUUUUUUUGGCAAUGGAAACAAAUUCUAAGAACAAUUGUAGAAGUGAAUAUCCCUUAAAUUGAUAAUUUUCAUAAAAAAUAAAGUCAAACGAAUAUCAAAAGACACUUUUAUUUUAACAAUUUUCAGGUGGAAAAUUAUACCUAUCAAACACUAUUAAUUGAUAAUUCCCACUAAAACAAAUUUUAGGCAAUUCAAUUCCCUUCAAAUAAUUUUCUUUCCAUCAAAUUUUAUCUUUACAAUCAAACGGACACUGAAUUCAAAAUUGAAUUCACAUCACAUGGCAAGAAAAUGCUCUAUGUCAGUACAUAAUUUUUUUAUUUUUACAGACAACACAAGGUGCAAUAUUAUUGGAAAAUGAGAAAAAAAGAAAAGAAAAACAAUCUACUUACAUUUUGUCAUGUCAGCAUUAGUACAAGUUCUAUUAAUUUUGUAUUUAUGACUUUAUUGAACUAAAAUAUAUCAAAAAAAAAAAAAGCCAAAGGCAAUUGUAGCACGCGUGGUGUGUACCUCAGCAUCAGUACAAGUUCUAUUAAUUUUUCUGUAUUUAUGACUUUAUUGAAAAAAAAAAAAAAAAAAAAACCCAAGUAAUUGUAGCACACGUAGCGUGUGCCUAUACCUACCAAUUGCGUAAUGGUUUUGCCAUUGAAACAAUAUUUAUUUAUAGCCUAACCUACCAAAUUGUUAGGAAAUUUCGCAGCAAACAUAACCUAAAUCGAAAAUUGUGCGACGAUGGCCUAUUAUUCAAAUAUUUGAACAAUGAGUGUUCAAUUGAAAUAAUGAGGGCAUGUACGUAUCUUACAACCACAAAGCAAAUAUAAUUAUACUAGUCGUUGGCCCAUGCAAUGCAUGGGAUAUGUUAUUCUUCAGGUAAUAUUAACGUGUCGAGUUUGAAGGGUUGACGGGAGAUAAUGAGAUUAACAAAAUAAACUCAAUUUGACAAGGUAAAUUUUCAUAUGAUUUUAAGAAUAAAACACAGUUUCGAAACAUCUCAAAAGCAUAAAGAUAUGAAGAAAAUAUUUUCUUUAACACCAUUAAUAGAAACAGAAUAGAACCAUCUACUAUCCUGAAAUUCUGAGUGCCUGUUAACCUGUUACAUUAAAAAAUGAAAUUAGCUGUAGCGAAAAAACUAAACAUUUAUGCAACAUAGUCAUAAUUUUACACUCAAGAAAUUAUCAUUGUUAAGGCGCCACAAUUGCACAGCAUCCACUUAUAGUAGAUAAAGGGAGACUGACUAACUAAUCACAUAUUUCUAGACUUUUCUAAGUCAUGGGACCAACAUCAAUUUCCAACAAAGGCAUGCCAGAUUAUUUAGAUGCAUUGAUUGCAUUCCAUGUAUAUAGUUAACGCUUCCAACUUGAGACGAUUGAACUUAGGCUCGUAUUUGCCGCAAUUCCCACUCCACCUUAAUUACUUAUUUGGUAUCAUUUCCAGAAACAAUAAGGAAUGGAAUUCUGAUCAACCCAAAUUCUGUAAUUCCGUAAUUUCAUCAAAGAUUUUCCAUGGUCACAGUUACCAAGCAAAGAAAAUUGAUAUUAGAAGACUGUUAUCAUACUGAAUUGCUACAAGUUGAGUCGAAGAAGUGGUGCUCAACACAUUGGUAAAGAAGCCAAAUGCAAAAUUUUGGUAGAAAUUAGAAUAAAAUCACCAAUAGAAGAGAAAAAAGCGCACCUUCCUUUUUAAGCAAAGCAAAUCUGGAUCCCAAGGGAUGAAUUAUUUGAAAAGAAAGAAGAUGCAUGCAUCCACACAAUUUAUACAUAUAUCAAACAAAAUUCAACUUUCAAAUAGUAUAUAAUAUAGGUAGAGUGAUUAGGGCAACGAAAGCACGCAACAACGUUGUACAAGAGAGGAAGCGUACAAGGAGACAGACAGGAAAGCGAAUACUAAUGCAUAUCAUACAAAGCUUGAUCAAAGCAACAACAAAAUAGUUAAUUAACUCUAAUUAUAAAUGCAUCAAAUCACAUGACCCUGACAUCCAAUUCAACUGAGAUCCCGAGACAGUAAAAGAAAAAGAAAAAGAAAGAAAGAAAAAAAAAAGAAAAAAUAUCCAUAGAAAAAAAAAUUUUAUAGGAAAAUUAUCGUCGAGAAAUCAAUCUUAGGUUAAUAGGUCAUUUUUCAACCAAAUCAAAGUAUGUUAAACAGGGUUCCAGAUAUAAAUGGCUUGAUAUAAAUUUGUAAGAAGAAAAAAAGCUUAAUAUGAGUUGGUCGAUGUUCCUGUAGCUUGCGUUUGAAUGACAGGUAAAGCACUUGCUCCUAUAUAUAUUUUAUCGUUAGUAGCUCUUUAUAAGAGAAGGAAUGUAAAUAAAAGCAUCUUGUAUAACAAUAUAUAACAUUUUCAACAAGGCAAAAAAAUUAAGAGGGUCAAACAUUCCCAUUGAAGAACUCACAGGAAAAUUUGUAGUUGCAGAAGAUCCCCAGUAUUUCAAUGAUGUUAAAUCAUAAGCUCUAGCAACCUUUUCUUACUGGUCAUAUGCUCCUAAACGAUUUCACAUCCUUCUCCUGUACUUAGAGGUGUAAGUCUGACAGCAAAGAUCUAUAUCACACAAUAUAUAAAUUCACUUUUAGGAUGAAAGUAAGCUAAUUUUUUCUCCUAAGUCCUAACCCAAAUUUGUAUUUAUUCCAAACCUCCCCCCUAAAACAAAAAAAUAAAAAAUAAAUAAAUAAAUGAAGACCUAAUUUUUUCUCUCAAAUAUUACAUUCCCUAGUUAGUUCACUGAAUAAAAAUAAUUACUUUACAAAACUGUAAAUACUAUAACAGAGGAAAAAUCAACUCACAUGCAACAGUAGAGUAAUAAAAUGAAGAGAACUACCUUACGGGUGUUGGGACAUAAGAAGCUACUUGCCCCUUGCUUGGUGAUCUUCCCAACACAGAUGGAAACAAGAGACAUGCAGAAAGACCUAGACAGCAUACCCACUUCCAAUAGCUGAAAGUGCUGUUUCAUUAUCACGUAGGUAGAUGUCACUUGAGUUGAUAAAAGGAAACAAAAAGGGCAUUAUAUACACAGCCUUUUCCAUAUAUAAUUGAAGUACGUAUCAAUAGGAGAGGCUAAAUAAAAUUAUUCGAACUGAAAUAUAUCUUUCCUAGCCAACAAAGUAGAGAAUUGUAACAAACCAAAUAUGUUUAGGGAAAUAUUUUAUUUGCAACAUAAAGUAAGAAUUGAAUGAAGCGUAAUGAAAACUAGGUAUUGGAAGCUCAUUGUCCUAUUUUGUUGGCUUCCUCUUUCACAAUAGAAAUUGCUCAUUGUCAAUAUUGUUAUUUAUUAAUUCAAAAGCAAAUCAAUAAUAAUUGAAACAGAAGCAAAUAAGAAGCGAUUCUCUAUUAUGUACAUGAAUACGCACCUCGCUCAAAUAUUUCCAAUUCCAUCGAGGCUAAUUUUUUUUGUUAUCCCCGUCCUCUUUAUACAAUCAAUCCCCAAUAAAAAUUGGAUUCUUAUAGUAUAAUAAAAUUCCUAUCUAUAGUGGACUUAAUCAAACACCAAAUAUUCAUAUUAUGCCUUUCUUUAAAUAAUUUGUCAAUAUAGUUCCUCCAUCUUACCUGAGAUCUCAUUGCUAAGGAAUAAAAUUCUUCGAUUUUCAUCUUUUAAAACAUAUUAAUCUUAAUUUGAUGCAAAUUAUAAAAAUCUUCUAAAAUCAAUUUUUAAAUUUACCAGAUACAAUGGGAUACGAACAAUACAAGUAAAUAAAAAUCACUUUUGCAUGCAAAUCAGGAUUGGACUUAAUGAACUCAUUUCCGUAGGCAUUCAUCAUAAAAUCCAUAGUAACAAAACAACGUCAUAUUUAGAAUACUAAAACUACAAAGUAUCCAGAUGACUUUGUGGAACAAGGGGUUACAUGAAAUCGAAGUAAAUUACUCAACUUCAACUAAUAUCCGAUACCUGCAAAUACUCAGGCAUCCACAGUGGAAGAACCACAGCUACUUCUAAAAGUCUUUUUGCUUCGCUCAACCCAACCACAUCAUCCUAUCUAACACUAGGAUUGGUCUCCAAGACAUCCCUUUGAACCAUAGCAGCCAAGUCUCCAUUGGGCCCUUUAUAUUGCACAUUCUUCGACUUUCCCUACCUAAAUUCAUAAAAGAAUGGACUUUGUUUCACUCCCCUUUGCAUUCCAAUUACUAUUCCAAAAUAUGCUAAUUCCCUGCACCAUUAAGAAUAAAUAUUUUUAAAAACUAAAUACAUUUUCUACCAACACGAUAAUAUUAUUACACUUUCAGCAAUUAACUCUUGAAUGUUGAAUCUGUUCCUCAUCUAUGUCAUUUAAAAUCAAGUUUAUUUUCUCCUCAUUAACACCAUUAACAACAUGAUGUAGAGACUACAUAGUUUACAAAACUACUAGAUAGUUUCAUGAAAUGCCUCAUAAAUUCACUAAUAGGACAAGUAAACUGCAAUUUUCAAAAACCAUUUGUCCCAUAGUUUGCUCAAGUAGGUUCAACAACGAGAUUAUGUGACAAUAUAAAGGGAAUAAAAAUGACUUGCGUCAAAACACAAGAAGGUUAUAAAUAGAAACCAUAGGGGCUUACCUUGGGCGAAGCCAUUUCAUAAAAGUAAUAGAGUGGCAAGUUGGCAAAGAAGAGCCAAGUAGCGUUACUACCAAAGCAGUAUCAAGUGUGCUUUGGCAUUGAAUAUCACAGGAGUUAAUUAGUCAAAACAAUAGGAACAAAAAUGCAUCCAUGUAAAAGAUAUAAUUUGAAAGUUAUAAAAUCAAGAGUAGCGCCACAUACUAACAGCUCACCAAGAGUUCCAAAAGAAAAAUGAAAAAGGACAUUUUGACCAUAGAUCCCACCAUUACAAUCAAACUGAUUGGCAUGAACAUAAGACAUGGGUUGCCAUUUCAUAAAGUGAUAUAACAAGUAUUUUGUCUCCAAGAAUUAGAGGAAAAAGGCCAAUACACUAAUUUCCAUAAGUUUGAUACUAAACAAAGUCAAAGAUGAUAUUCAGAAUUAAAACUUGAAACGGAAUAAAAUUGGAAACCAGAAUUGAAUUUGAUGACUAAUAAAUCCAAACAGCAUUCCAGAUUCGACUGAAAUUUAACAGUAACUCCUUUAAACGUGUUAGAAGAUCCCAAAUACCCAUAUUUUGAUCGUCGCAUAACUUGAUUCACUUAAUACGCUAUGAGUCUACACUAAUUUCAGCUAGCAAAUUAUGGAUCCUAAUUCUCUUUUCAACUUCAUAUUGAAUAGAUCAACCAUAUAAAAAUUCAAGAUUAAUCUAAAUAGUGCACAAAAUUGAGGUUUAACGCCUUAUCAAACCAGAAAUCAAAAGGAAUUUUCACUUCAGGCAUUGUUGCACAUUUCAAGCGAUCACUUGAUACAACACUACACCUUAAGCUACAAAUGAAAUAAAUAAACCAGUCAAUUUCAAUUACAUAAAUCAAAAACCUUUGCUCGAUAAAUAUUCAAUGUCACCACCUGACAAAUCGAAUCACAAAAAACCUCGACUGAGGAACAAUGAUCCCGUAGAGACACCAGAAGAGUCUAAAAUUGAACCCUUGAACUUCAGUAGAGCAGAUCCUCUCGUAUUAGAACCCAAAACAGUGUGUUGUUGAACCUAAAAGAAUACCUAAAUGAAAAUUAAUAGCUUCAACAGCUUGUGCAAACGGAAUAAAAAAACUUACCAAAGAUCCUCGCUUCCCUUCAAAAAAGAAGCAAUGAACGAGAUCCCAAAACCAAAAAGAAAGUAGAAACUUACCUGACAUAGACUUUGCUGUGUGGUUACGGCAAAUGGAAAUUCUAAUGGAACGAAAGGGAUCUACGACCUUUUCUAUGAAGGAGAGGGAAGGAAUAAAAUUAGGGUGAUCUCGACUCCGACAAACCCUCACUACACUGUAAAACCUAUAUCCAUGUAGGAAAAGGAAAAGGGAAAGGAAGGAGGUUAAAAGGCUGAAUCGUGUGGGAGAAGUGGACCAUUAAAGCACUUGUUGAAGAGAUAUUUUGUGCAUUGAAAGAAAUUGGUUAGUGGACAGUAAUUAUCUAGUUAAAGUGUGAAAAGGAAGGCAGAAAAAUGAACAGUAAAAAGCUCAUUGCCUCUUUUUAUCAAGUGAGAUGAAAGUGAAGUGUGAAAAGGAAGGCAGAAAAAUGAACAGUAAAAAGCUCAUUGCCUCUUUUUAUUAAGUGCAUAUUUAGAUGCAUUUAAAUUUUUUAAAUUAAAUAUUAAUAAAAAAUGUACUACUUGUGUUCAUUUUCAAGCUCAUUACGAGAUAUCAAACGAAGUCGAAAUAUUACAUUCUUAAUAUCAUUUUGAAGUACUUACGGCAUAAUAUUGUAUGUCGUUAACGGUGCGUGAAACGGCUAAUCGUAGCAAAUGUUACGAGACGUCAAAAUAUGCAUUUUCAAACUAUAUUUCGAAAUUUUCGAUAAUAAGUUAAUUUUAAAAAUUUAUUGACGAUUGUACGAUAGUCGGAUCGAUAAAUGUUUUACAUUCUCUCGAAACUCAUUUCAAAAACUAUAUCAUAAACACAUCGAAUGAUCUAAAUGAAUAUCGAAAAUAGUUAAACGGACAUUAAACGUAUGUGUUAAAAAAUGCGUAUAAGUCGUUUUUCUUAAAAAAAAAUUAAUUAUUUUAUUACUGUUUAUUAUUUUUUCGUAACAAUUUUCUCAAUACAUCAUUUUGUUCAAGAAAAAUUAAGUGGUAUGACGUAAAUUUUUUUCUCCUUGCACGAAGUGAAUAUAGGUUUUUUUUUAACAUUUUAUUUACAAUAAUUUUGUUUAUUAAUAUAAUUUUAAAAAUUUAAAUAUAUAAGAUAUAGUUGAUAGUUAAUGGCGUGAGAAUUAGGGAAAAGAGCAUGAUAUGUCAGAUUGAAAGCAAUGGAGAAAUAUUGCAAUAGACAAUGGCGUGUGACAAAAUUCCUACAGUAUUUUUGAAUAAAAUUUUUCCUGUUGCCAAACCAAUUCCCAAACCGAUUAAGUUAUUUAAAAGUAAAAGAAGAGAUUACACUAUCUAAAAGAUAAAAAAUUACUUAUAAGUAAAAAAAUCACUUCAAGUUAUUUAAAAUAAAAAACAUAUAAUUGUAAAAGCUAUUUAUAGGUAAAAAAAUAUAUAUAUAUUAAUUCCUCAUUCUCUUAUAAUUGCAAAAGCUACAUAUAUAAAAAAAUGUGACCUUAAAAUUUUUUUAGUAUAAAUAUUUAUAUAUAUUUAGUUUUUAAAAUUAAAUAUUAAUAAAAAGAUUAAACUAUCUAGAACGUAAAAAAUUACUUAUAAUUAAUAAAAUCACUUCAAGUUAUUUAAAAGUAAUAAAAAAUUAUAAUUGUAAAAGUUACUUAUAGGUAAAAAAUAUUAACUUCAACAUUUUUAAGUAAAUAUUUAGAUAUAUUUAAUUUUUUUAAAUUAAAUAUUAAUAAAAAAUGUACUACAAAUAAAACUGAAAAAAAAGUGCACAUUUGUGCGAGGACUCCCCGCACGCAUAAAACUCCGUACACGGAGGUUUGCUAAAGUAGUUUCUUUUUUCUUUUUCUUUUUUUUUUUAAACUUAUGUUAUUGUGUUCAUUUUCAGGCUCAUUACGGGAUAUUAAAUAAAGUCGAAAUAUUACAUUCUUAAUAUCAUUUUGAAGUACUCGCGGCAUAGUAUUGCACGUCGUUAACGGUGCGUGAAAUGACUAAUCGUAGCAAAUGUUAUGGGACGUCAAAAUAGACAUUUUCAAACUAUAUUUCAAAAUUUUCGAUAAUAAACUAACUUUAAAAAUUCAUUAAUGAUUGUACAAUAGUCGAAUCGAUAAAUAUUUUUCAUUCUCUCGAAACUCAUUUCAAGAACUAUAUCAUAAACAUAUCGAAUGAUCUAAAUGAAUAUCGAAAAUAGUUAAACGGAUGUUAAACGUAUGCGUAUAAGUCGUUUUUCUUAAAAAAAAAAAUCAAUUAUUUUAUUACUAUUUAUUAUUUUUUCACAACAAUUUUCUCAAUACAUCAUUUUGCUCAAGAAAAAUUAUGUGGUAUGACAUAAAUUUUUUUUUCCAUGCACGGAGUGAAUGUGGUUUUUUUUUUAACGUUUUAUGUACAAUAAUUUUGUUUAUUGAUAUAAUUUUAAAAAUUUAAAUAUAUAAGAUAUGGUUGAUAGUUAAUAGCGUGUGAAUUAUGAGAAAGAAUCCUACAGUAUUGUUGAAUAGAAUUUUUUCUGUUGCCAAACCAGUUCCCAAAUCGAUUAAGUGUGAAAACGAGUGUGACAAAAAUGAACAGUAUACUCUCAUUCUCUCUUUUAUGUUAGUGUAGAUGUAGAGUUAAUUGUUUUAAAAUAUAGCCUAAACGGAAGUGAAGGCAAGAUGAGGUAAAUUUUCAUUAAAUCAGAUUCAAGAAGUAUAAUGGAAGUCGAUAUUUUUGUGGGAAUGUUAGCGUUUGAUCGUCUUCCUAUAUAGCAGAUUUUGAUAUGAUAAAAUGAUAAUUUAUCAUAAAUAAAUUGUGAUUUUAUCUAUUUAUUAAUUAUUAAGCAUGUAAAUUAAAAUGUUUAUGAUCACUUACAAUAAUAUAAAUUAAGUACUUGCAUUGAGAAGUACAGCGCAACACAAUUUAUAUUUUGAUUAUAAUAAUUUGUUCACAAUCAAUCUAUAUGGUUGACACAUUAAACUGGAAGAUCAGAGUGUUCACUAAUUCACUAUCUGAGAGUGCAAUUUAUCCUUAUCAUAGAAAUAGUUCAAGAUGAUAAUGGUACAAUUGGCUUAUAUUAAAUAGACCAUUAUCGAGUUUAUUUCUAUAACAUGACCAUGAGGAUAAUUAAAUUUCACUUGAUUGCCAUGAAUAUUAUCUAAAUCCUUCAACAGAAUUAUGUAUAUGUUUUUGUGACUUUAACAAUUCUUUGAUUCACCUAUGAGUGAGAUCAAUUUGAUUGGUCAAAUAUUUUGAUGAGUUGAAAACUUGAGAAUGAGUGAAGUAUAGAAUAUGAAUUCGUAUCGGAAACCAUAACCCUGGGUAGAGAGACAGCUUAAGUAUUUUCUAUUGAAAGGUAAAAAUUUGAGCUUAGCAUUUAACCACGGCUAAAUUUCGACAUCUAUGAGUUGUUUUAUAGGAUCGUUGAAGAAAAUUGUGCUUAAGCUAGUGCGUAUAAUUAGAAAGGCAAAACGAUCAUUUAUAUUCGUACCUAAUUAUCGAAUACUAGAUGGGAUAAAAUACAUACGUGGUGGGUCAAAAGAAAGUAUCAUAGAUUUACUACUUUUGUGAUCUUAAAUAUUCCAAAAAUUUAGUCUUUUACCUUCAGUAAAAAAAAAAAAAAAAGCAAAAAAUAAUAAUUAGAUUGAACGAUCUAAAUUUGAUUAGACAUGAUCAAAUUAUUGGAGCUUGACUAAUACAUGUCUGACUUUUAUGAAAUAUUGGAACUUAAUUGGAAUUAUUAUAAAAAUUUUGUGCUUAAUUAUAAUUACAAUAAAGUUGUGUACUUAAAUGUAAUUGCCAUAAAAGUUGUAAAUUUAAUUGUAAUUGUAAAUAAAGCUCUAGUAUUACACACAUAAUUAAACGUAAAUUAAUUGGAUUUUAACUCUAAUUAAAACUCUUAUUUGUAUUUUAAUUAAAACUCAUAAUUCAAUGUGGAAUUCUUAUUAUAUAUGGACAUGAAAUUAUUUUAUCUCUAUAAAUAGAAACUAUAUGGAACCUAGACAUCUGAUUGACUACAACAAUACGUAAUAUAUAAUUUCAUAGUAUUCAUAUUGGAGAGAGAGAAAAUUGUUUUUCUUAUUGUUUAGUUCAAGAAUUAGUUUUAUGAUUUAAUUAAAAAAAGGUAUCCACCCACCCAUAUAAUCUCGAUUUUCGAGAAUAUAUUGGAAAGACGUGGGGAUUUGAAAUAUCGAGUUUUUGAAAUUAAAUGUUGAAAGCUUGCAAUUCAAAAAGCUAAAAGUGCGUAAUUCAGAAUUAAUUCAGCAAUUAACAUCGAAUUCAGGUAAAGUUUCAAAUCAUUUAUUCUGGAUAUAACAUACAAGUGCACAUCCAUACGAUUUUGUUUCUUGAAUUCAAGAAUAAUACUUUCUCUGUUUCAAUUAUAUAGGCUUAUUGGAAAACUAAUUUUUGUCAAGAUCUUUCAUAGUUUACCCCAUUUAAUUUUCAUAUGCAGUAGUAAAAUACUAUUGGAAUUAGUAAAGAAUUUGAAUGUUUGAGAAACGAGAGUUGUUCCAUGUUUCCAGGAAGUAGGAAAUGUGUCUUUAGAUGAUUUCAAGAAGUUGACAUAUUAAAUGGGAAAAAUUGAAUAAGGGUAUAUUGGUAAAUGAACAAAACAAAAUAUUUUAAAUUAGGAAACAUGUCAAUAUAUUUGAGACAAUUGAAAAAAGAAAUCCAACCUAUAUAAUUGGGACGGAUGGAGUAUAUAUUUUUAAUUUUGAGUAAUUCAACUUUCGCAUUCCAACCAUUAUCUUCUACAAGAUCUGUGCUACAUGGAUUAACAAUUGUUCUUUCUUUGUCUAGUUUGUGAUAGAACUGAUAAAAUCCCAUGUAGAAUAAGAACCAAAAGUCUUUCACUUGUGUACCUGUAAAUAGAAAUAUUAUAUUUUGUAUAUUUUUAUUCCAAUUUGAGUGGGAAUGAUGGAGAAAGUUAUCUUUUUAAUUAGUUGGAUAAGUCCAGAUCAAUUCAACUACCACAUAAAUUUAUGUUAAGCACCACUCGUGAAAGUUCAAUAGCAUCCUUAAUUUUUAUUUUUAUUUUCCAUUUGAAUUUCCCUAAGAAUGCUCCAACUCAGGCAAAUGGCCAAAUAAAGUUUUGAUUUAACGAUACGAGGCAUUGACAUCAAAUCGCUUCUUUAUACUUAAGACAAUUAAAUUCACACAACAAAUUCUGUUAGUUGCACCAUUUUCAAAUUACAAUUAAGGCCAUCAAUAUAAGAUCAAUGUAAUAUUUAUGUUCGUAACUUUUUUGCGGACACAUUCUUUUCUUCAACCUUAGCAUAUCUUAUCUAAUAAUAGUAUUCAUCCAAAAUAUCCAUUGGGAGGGCAUAAAAUGACUUAUUUUCCCAUCCAUUUUUAAAAAAAAUAAAAAUACAAAAUUAAUAAAUACAAAAGUUCGACAAAAAUAUUUUUCCCCAUUUCAAAUCACGUGGAUGAUAGGUUUUGAAAAAGAAUAAUGUUAUUUGCUGCCGAUCAUUACCACGUCGACUUAUAUGUAGGAAUGUCAAAUGGAUUGAGCGGCUCGUCCGCUCGUUAAAACUUGGCUUGUGGGUGGCUAUUUGAUGGGCUCGAGCACGAGCCGAGCUCACGAGCGGCUCGUGGGCAUGGCUCGCGAGCCAAAAGUUCACGAGCCCACGACCUCAUCAAAAAUUGUGAAGAAAAGUUUGAAAAUUUUCAAAAAAAAAUAAAUAAAUAAAUUAUCGAGCUCGCCCACUGAGCACGGGCCGAGCUCUCGUGCUCGUGUGUUUAAGGGUCGAGUUGGCUCGGCUAGACUUAUUUCCAUCUCUACCUAUGUGACAUACAUGUGACGUUUAGUGAUUUAUUCUAUAAGAUAAUAAAAGACUAUCACAUUAAUGUAUCAAAUCACUAAUCGUCACAUGUAUGUCACAUUGAACAACUACGGCAGUAAGUAAUUGCAAAUAAUAUUACUGUUUGACAAAAUGUUUGCUAAUUAAUAUAAUGUUGAAAGUAAUAACUUUGACAAAAAAAAAAAAAAGAUUUAAAACUUUUUAUCAUAAUUUGAAGUCUUUUAACCUUAAAAAAUUAAAGCGAGGUACCAUUUAUUUAUAAGUAUCCUAAAAUUCAUUUAUUAGAUUAAAAAAAAAAUAAAAAUAUAUGAGUUAUCUAUAUUAUCAUAUUGUACCAAAUUAAUAAUUGACAGCAUUUUAUAGAUAAUUGGGCCAAAAACAUUUUUCAACCAUCCAAAAUUUGUCAAAUCAUUCUGACAAUCUGAUUCUAAUAUAAUAAUAUGUUAAAAUGUCAUAAUUCAAAAAAUAUCCAACUUGCACACGAUGUCGAAAACAGAUGAGUUGUUGAAAAAUAAUUGUGCCAUAUGUAAGACGUGAGGAAUUUAUUGAUAACCUAACUAAAUUUAUAAAACCUAAUUUAUUUAUGAGAAAGUCAACAAAUUCAAUUUUGUUGGUUGCGUAGUUGCAAAAAUAGCCUUUACUGCACUUCUUACUCGGACAAAAAACACACACAUAAAACUUAUCCUUUUUCUGUCAUUUUAUUUUCUGUCAUAUAUGUAAUAUGUUUAUGCAUAUAUACUUGAUUUCUUCUUCGUCUGAGAGUUGUAAGAAAUUUGUGCAUGCAGCAGUAUGAAUAGCAGUGAAGGGUCUGCUUGGCAGAGGAAAAUAAAAGGAAAGAUGUAUCAAGAAAGGGAUAAGACCACCAGCUUUCUCUCUCAAGAUUCAGUGAUGGAUUGCAAGAAAAUGAUGGGCAAAAAGAAGGGGAAAAUAUAUCCUCUUUUAUCAUUUCAUGAAUUGCCAGAUUAUAUGAAGGAUAAUGAAUAUAUUUUGAAUUACUAUAGAGUUAAUUGGCCUCUCAAAGAGGCUUUCUUCAGCUUAUUUCGUUGGCAUAAUGAAACCCUUAAUGUAUGGACGUAAGUACUGUUUUUAUCUCAGAAUUUCCCUUUUUUUCAAUUUUUUUCUGAUCAAUUGUGUUUAUUAUGACUUUUUUUACUGGGAUUUUUGUUUUUUUCCUAUUUUCCCUGUGCAGGCAUUUAGUAGGAUUUGUACUAUUUUUAGGAUUAACAAUUUGCAAUCUGAUGCAUGUGCCUCAAGUAGCAGAUUUCAUUGCAAUCUUUACUGGGUAAGUUCAAGAAAUUUUACUCUGGUGCUAGGGGUAGGGGAUUGGAGGUAGGAAGAAGAUUAAUUCCGGGAUUUUGAAUAAAAUAAUUAAAAAUCGUUAGAGGGAUUUAAAUGCUAAAACACAAAUGUCUGGAAGAUUUUUGGAGAGAGGGUGAGUGUGUCAUUUAGGGAGGAAUUAUAAAGGGUUUAAUUUAUAAAUAGAUAGAAAUAAGUCGUGGAUAAGUGGAUAAAUAAUUUAUUAAUUUUGCCAGACAAAGAUUUAGUUAGUGGAAGACAUCUUUGAAAUUUGCUUAUUUAGUAUUUUAUAUAUCUUUGUUUGGAAAUAUUGUAAGCUGAAGAUGUAUACUGAACCGAUUAAUUAACGACAAAAAGCUAAGAGUGUAUCAUACUUCUUGUCAUUGCUUUGUAGUUAAAUGAUCUUCAUUUUGACAUGAUUUUUACAUUAAAGAGAAAUUAUACUGUAGUAUAGAUCUGUUCGGCCAACUCAUUUAAAUGAAAGAGACAUUUGACUGUCAUAUGUAAAAGAACUUCUUAUUAAUGUCCAAAGUUCAAUUAAAGGCUGUUUGGUAGGGUUUUUGAGAAGACUAAAAUUGCUUCUGUGACUAAGAAAUUGAUUUUGAAUAUUUGUGGAUAAUUUUCUGAAAGUUCUUACUAAUCUAAAGUAGCUUUCUCAUGAAAUUUUUCUACAAGUAGGAGCCGUGCCAAUGGGCCCUAAGUAGUGCCAAGUUACAAUUAAGCUAUCAAUGGGAGAAUAUUCACUCCUUGUGCCCCAUUGUUAUUUUGAUUAAAGGUUUGACCCUUGAAAAAUGUCUAUGUUGAUGUUCGCGACUUGACCUCACAGUAUGUAUCUGUUCCUAUGUCAUGUUGAACUACUUCAUUUAAAAUUUUGAAUUGUUGGAAAGGGAGAAAAUUUACUUAUUUUGUGUUCUCAUCUUUCAACAUGAUGAACUUUUGAAAGCUGGGGUGAGGCCAAAUUGGACAAAUCAAAUUUAUGUAAGGGACUAUUGAUUGAUGAAUAAGGCAUGUUCUUAAUAAUGUUCCAGAAAAAUAUAAUCAAGAAUUUUUGUUGUGAAAUAUGGCAAUUGUAGCCUAUACAUACUUGGCUCUUCAUUGUUGAAAACUUGAGCUGGUACCCUUUAUUUACAUAAAAUCUGUGUUCAAUGAUCACUUUGUAAAAUCUUGUGCUUUUAAAUGAUGGUAACCAUAUAUUUUCUUCUUGUACAGACACUUUGCUUCUGGUGCAGAUACUAAUUUCUCUCACAACUUCAAGGAUUUUUCCCCGGUGAGUUCUACAAAAAUUACUUUAUGACCCGUCUCUUGAUCAAAAAAAUGAAUUUUUUUCGAACUCCAUCUUUUCAGGGACCAACAAAAUUGAUAGAUCUAAAGCAAAAAUCCCAUCUGAAUAUGGAUAUUACAUCCCCUGAAAUGGCUGCUAUAAGUUGGCCAUUCUAUGUCUUUUUAGGUGGUUCAAUGUUCUGUCUCUUGUCAAGCAGCUUUUGCCAUCUCUUUUCUUGCCAUUCCCAUCACUUAAAUAUACUACUACUGCAAAUGGAUUAUGUUGGAAUAACUGUCAUGAUAAUCACCUCAUUUUUCCCUCCAAUUUACUACAUCUUCCAACGCACUCCCCACUGGCAAAUUGUUUACCUUACUGGAAUAACAAUAAUAGGGAUUUUCACUAUCAUAACCUUGCUUAUUCCGGCCUUCUCGACUGGGAAAUACCGCUCGUUUCGAGCAUGUCUCUUCACGUCCAUGGGAUUCUUUGGCCUUGUGCCUGCCAUCCAUGCUGCGGUUGUGAACUGGAACGAUCCUUACCGGAAUAUAACGCUAGCCUAUGAGUCGGCCAUGGCGCUAUUGUACUUGAUAGGGGCAUCGUUUUACGUUAGCCGGAUUCCCGAGCGGUGGAAGCCCGGGUGGUUCGACCUGGCCGGUCACAGUCAUCAGAUAUUCCAUGUGUUUGUAAUCUUGGGGGCUUUGGCUCAUUAUGGUGCUGCACAAAUUUUCUUGAGGUACCGCAGUAGAAUAGGGUGUGACUAAAUUUAUGUGUGCUGUGUGAAAUUGGGCCUACUAUAACCCUUUUUCAUUUGAUGUUGUAUUUGUAUAGUAAUUAAUUUGCAUUUGCCUCUUAAGACGAAUGUAUCUUAUUUGUCAACGAGCUCGGAAUUUUAUUAGAUGAUUGAUCUUCAUCUCGAAGUAUCUUUAAUUUUGUCUAAACUUUCACUUCAAAUUUGAAAAAUUAUCACAUCAAUAACACAGUGUCGUGUUGACAUUAUCUUGUGGAUGAUUUCGAUUCUUGAAAUUUAAUGGAUCGAAUGAUGACCAGAUGCCCACCACUAGACCAAUGUGCCGUAGCAAUCGAACUGAUCAAUUUUGCUACAAAUCCAUGAAUUGGUUCGAACUAAUCGAUCCGUUCCCUGAAAAUUACAAAAUGAUAUACCAGACGUCACAAAAAUUGACAGCCACAGAACCUGGAGGAAAAAUAAAGGCGUAUAUCAUACUACAAAUUUGAUCUUUUUCUAAAUCUAAUUGAGCUCGUACAAAUACAGGUAAGAGCUAUCUAUUCUACGGGACAAUGAAAAAUCAAUGUUCUAAAAGGCGUGAUGCGUGACGGCCGAGCAAUGGGUUAAGCGAGUUUUGACAAGGCAUAAGCGUAAAAAACUAAAAAUGUGUUUUAUUAUUUUAAUGUUAUUUAAUUUUUAAUCAAUCAAAGAAUCAUUUAAUAAUUAAAAAUAAUACCUACCAAACAUCUAAAACAGAUUUAUAGAAAAUUUAUACAUUUUUUUCAAAGUUUCCAACAAAAAUAUAAGUUUUAUAUGUAAAUACUAAAUAGUGAAUAAAUAAGAAUUUUUGGAUUUUUUUUUUAUUCAAAGCUUCAAUUUCCCGUUUUGAAGUAGGACAAACGAAGUGAAGAAAUCAGCCUUUAAGUUUUAACUUAAAAAAAUUGUUAAAAAAAAUUAUACAAAAAAGAUAAUGCACGUCUAGUGGUCAAUGGCAACCUGCUGACAUCUAAAUAAGGCACCAAGCCACUCGGCUUGGCAUUUCCAUGGCUUGGCGUUUCCGCCCCCACAUCGCUCCUAAGCUUUGUCUAGGCGUGCCAUUUAAAACACUGUGAACAACUAAUAAUGAUAUUGGAUUUAUUUUUCAGAAAAGAAAAACUAUAAGAAUUAAUAACAUUUUAGUUACUAAAUGAUUUUUUAAUAAGGUUCUAUUGAUUAAUGGUCAACUUCAUCUUCAAUAUUUUGAUCAUAACAAAAAAGAUUAAUAUUGUUUCUAAUAAUUUUUUUUAUCAAGGUGUCCGCCUUCGACGACUAUUACUUAGGUUUGUGAUUCGACCCCUCUUCACACAGACCAGUAAAACCGUGGGAUGUGCCUCCAAUUGACUAGGGUCCGAACACCUCUCCAACUAGACUGCCAAAGUGCCUAGUGAGCCAAUCCAUGUUGCGCCUUGCCUUCCAAGACACUCCUAUCUUUCAGGAUAAAUCUUGCCUUCCAAUAUGUGUCUUGCUUUCCAAGAGCCCCAAGAAUCGGACCCACGACCUCUGAUCUGCCAGCUUUGAGAGAACCCGUCCUUUGUCAGUGGAGAAGUGCCUCGGGGGGCAAUAUUGUUUCUAAUAAUUUAUUUUGAGUAAUGAUAGUUCAAUGUUAAAAUCAAUCAAGUAUUAAAUAUCAGACUUGAAAUGAAAAUCAAAGUGAAAGUUAAGCAUUCGAAUCAAAUCACUUGAGAAGAAAGUUUAAAAGAUAAAUGCCAAGAAAGAUCAAAUCAAGAGCAUGAUAAACGGCAUCAAAGAAAGAUCAAGACGAGACUUUCAAGAGCCAAACACGAAAGAAAUUUUGAAGCAAGAUCAAAGACUAGGCUUUCCAGAUCAUAUGUAAAGGUAUAAUACUUUGAUCCUUAGUAAUGAAUGAUAAUAGCUAAAAAAUCAUUUUACGCACGAAAAGUUAUUUUCACUAUCGUUUGCGUAAAAUAUUUUAACCAAAAUUAAAUUUGAUUUUUCAAAGUCAUACUUGAACUUGAAUCACAAUUCUUAAAAAAAUAAAUGAAUAAAUAAAUAAUCAAUGGUCAAAGUCAAUGGUCAAUAGUCAACUGAACAUCUGGUUGACCGAGCGGACGUUCAGUUUGCCAACGAUUAAAUUUUUUAACCAUUCUGACUUCUGACUCACAGUUGCUAAUUCGGUCAUCUGGUUGACAAGCAGACUUUUGGUUGGGUAUAACUCUUCCGUUUUGAUUCCUAUAAAUAUCACUUCAUAUAUAUAUAUAUAUAUAAGAGAGCUUCCUUGUGGAAAAUCUUCUUUGAGUUUACAUUUUUAUUUUUAUUUCAUUUAUUUUUUUACAGCAAAAACUUUGAUUGUUGAAUCAAAGUUCUUGAAUCAAUUUCUCUCAUUGAAGUUUUUCAUAUCUCUUUGUUCUUAACUUAUUCAUAUCAAUUUUUAAAAAAAGAGAUAUAUUUUUUAAGAAUGUCUUUGAACUUAUAUUGCAUAAUCCUUUAUAUUUCUUUCAUAUUAAAAACCUUGAUUGAUGGAAUCAAAAUUUGUACAAUCAUCAUAUUCAUCAAAGUUUCUUAUUUUUCUUGGUAUUUAACUUAUUACAAUCAUUCGUUUAAAGAGAGAUAUUUGUUGAGAAGAUUAUUUGAACUUACUUUGCAUUUAUUUCUUGAAAAUCUUUGAUUAAUUAAAUCUAACCUUUUUAAUUAUCAUAUCUAUCAAAGUUUUUCAUCUAACACUUAACCUAUCGUUUAUUACUAUUUAUUGAAGUGUUAGCAUCUUUUAGUACUUAAUUUGUUUUGUAUUAUUUAUCAAAAGAAAAUUUUAUUGUAAAAUCAUUUUGAUAAAGUGUGGAUCAUAUUGAGGUCCCUUAAAGCUCAAUAGGUGAGUUAUAUUGAGGUCCUGCAAUACUAAAUAGUGAGGAUCAUGUUGAAAUCCCGUAAAGUUCAACGUUGUAAAAUGAUCGUGCUCCUUAUUUGUAAGUCAUCGAAAGCAUUGUAGAAGGUUGUUUUAUACCAUAUGUUAUGCCUAUAAAUUAUCACUCCAUAUUGAGUCAUCUUAUUGGACCCGAGCCUGGCCCAUUAGUGUUGGGCCCCAAAGUCGAGGCUCUGACAAGGCCAAUCGAGGUGCAGUCGAAGCCCUAAGAAGUCUAACCGAAGCGCCUGUCAAUGCGCCUAUUAUUUUGCUCACCUCAUAUUGGGCUCAGAUUUAGGCCUACUAACCCGUUUGGCCCGCUUCACAUCCAUUUCUCUAUAUAUAUGGAUUCAACUCACACAAUCAUGUUAUGUUUUACAUUCUCUAGCCAAAUCCCUAUAUUCAUACUAUUGCACUCUAUAUAUCUAUUUUCGUCCAGCCGUUGACUUGACAAUCGGAGUGCAAACGGUCGUCGGACGGCCGCCUUUGCCUCUUGACGGGGUGUUACAUGCGUAGGUUUCGAGAGGACAAGGUUAGAGAAUUUGUUGGAGCCAUUUUUGGAGGUCAACAGAUUGGCAGCGUCUGUGGGAAACGCUACGUUAACCAUGUUAUACCACAUUCCUAAAGGUCACCGAAAAUUGAAAAAUUUCCGGGUGACAGUAUUCUACUAAAAGAGAGACAUUUCUAAAAACAAUUUUAUUUCUGUCGGAAGAUAUCAUCAACCGGAAAAGAGAGAAAAUGGCAGCCAAACCAUUUGAAAAAAUUUCCUUGAAAAAGGGAACUUUCGGAAUGAAUGGAAAAAGCCGGCCAAGGAGUUGAAUAAACCCACCAUGAAAUAGCUAUAGGAAGUUGGUACGAACUUGGGUUUUUUGACAAAAAUGAAGGUAGCAGCAAUUGAACCACAAAGCAACCACAAUAAAAUAGAUAGGGGAAGGAAAGAAGUGGCCAUUUUAUCCAAUAAACAUGCACCAGGGGGUAUUCCAAAAGAUGUCCCCCCCCCCCCUUAUUGCUGAAUUUAUUCACCAUAUUCUUGGGGAAAAUCAACAGCAAACAAUUUACAAAAUGGCUACUAGGUAACGAAGCAGAAAAUAUGGCCACUGGAAAAACCUUUUUUGGAGCCAUCUAGUUAUCAUUUUUCAAUUCCAAUCAAAGCAAAGAAGAAGAAAGGUCCAAGCUUGAAAACAUCCACAAAUGCACAAAAAUGUGGCUACUCUUGUGAGAAGGGCAGCAGACCUCACUCGCAUGGCCUCCAAAUAUCUGGAAAUAUUAGAGGCAUUAUUCAUCCCUGAAUGAGGAAUUUUCGAGGUGCAUUUACAAAAUAUUUGAGCCCAAUAUCCUGUUUGAAUUGUUUGUUCGGGCAAAAUAUGCGAUCGCCAGCCGAAGUCCUUAAAAAAUUGGGUGAAAUCCCACCCCGGCAACCACUUCCAACGCCCAACACCUUGCCGAUGAUUGGACUGAAUUUCUCUCCGGUUUAUUCUCCUCCUUUGUCCUUUGGUUUAGCAUUUAAUGUGAUGGAAACAAGAUGUUGACAGGGGCGUGUUUAGAAAGAAGAGUUGUACUUCUUAGCCGAAUUUUUCCUGCUACAAUAAGGCUUGAGUUUGUUGACUUUUCUCACACAAUUGCAAGACAUAAUAUGGAGCUCCUGAGUAUGUAUUGUUGGGCCAAGUAAUUAAUAUUUUGUUCGGCCUCAUGACCGCCAUCUUAUCCAUUUCACAUGGGUGAAAUACUUGCAUAAAGUUAGGCCACACUAAUUUAUUUUACUUGGGCUGCUCCAAUUAAUUGCCAGCCCAUUAGAUACUUUUUUUGGGCUAGUAUUGGUUCUCUCUUAUUGGGCUGUCCCUAAACACUCAUUAUCUUUUGGGCCUGAUAUUUUUGAAUGCUUCAUGUGGACUGCCCAUGUGUUCCAUAUCAUAAAUCACUCAAUUUAAAGCAUAGUUUAUAUGUUUUUCCCACAGGGGCGGACCCACUGCUGGACCUGGUGGGUCACAUGACCCACCAAGUUUUUCAAUUUUUUUUUUAAUAUUUAUAUGGAAAACAGUAGAAUUCCCAAGAGCCAAGUUCCCAUUUCCCAGCCAACUCCUCCGUCCCAUUAAUUACAGCACUUUGAAAACAGAAAGAUGAGAAGAUAAACCCAUUACAAUUUACAAACCAAUUCCAAUUUCCAAACACCAAAAAACUGUUGCCUUCCCUUCCGGCCUUCCAUAACCAGUGACCGGAGAAACAAGAAAUAUUCAGCCGGCGUUCCGCGUGUCUUUGCUGUGGCAUGUGGCCUGUGAGUUUGUGACGUGUAGUGCCUUGCGAUUGUGUGAAGUGUACUGCCAUCCCAUUCAGACUCAGCCAUCCGUCGAGUCACCGACCGCCUGAUCACUUCCCUCCAUUGGCACCAUUAUAACACCGUCCACCUCUAAAUGAUUAGUAAGUGCACCCUGAGUCCAUCUGUAAUCUGUCUAUGUAACUAUAUUGUGUUUUUUAUUUUAAUAUGUGAGUUUUGAAUUUGUUGAAACUAUGUAAUAGAACUACAGUACAUUUUCUCCCAAUUUCUGGAACAAGAAGAAUUGGUGUAAAUAAGAGUUCUUAAACAGUUAAACAUACUUCUCUUCUGUGUUGUAUAACUUCCCUCCUCGUCGUCCUCGACAAUAAUCUUAAUUGCAGGAACCCUUUCCUUUCACACGAGAUUCAAAUACAAUAUAAAAAGAAACAAAUAAACAAAAGAAUAAACAGUUUAUGCGGCUUCUAACCAAUAUUAGAACGGUUAGCUACUUAGCUUUCUUGUUCUCUCUUCUAGUUCUCGAAUCUAGACUCAACUUCAAAAACGAGACUAAACUAUUUUGCGAAUUGGUUAGACUAAACUUCAAAAAAAAUAUGUUUUAGUUUUUGUUUAUUCGCAAACCAACCCGGAGGUACUUCACUGUGGCAGUAGCCGGGACUGUAUCACUGUAUGUUUGAACUUGUCUUGUCUAUAUUUGAUUUCUGAAUAUUUUGUGAAUUUCUUGAACUAAGUAUGUUAAGUUGUUAUUUGUUAACAUUGUUAACUGUUAAGUUUUUUAUUUACCACUAUUUGUUGAUUUUAGCAUUAAAUGGAAAUUUUUUUUCCUGUGAAAAUAGUAUAGUUUCAAUAAUUAUCUUUAGACUUGUAUUUUGGAGAUUUUAACUUUUUUUUUAAAAAAAAAUCAAUGAGUUUAAUUAGAUUGAACCGAAGGCAAGAAACUUCAUAACCAGAUUUUAUUUCUGCGCCGUAGAAUUCAUUAGGUUUAAGUUCAUUCUUUUGUUUUUUUUUUUCAAUGAAUUGAUUGUUUUCGUUGAUCGUUUCUAUCAGUUAUGGAGAAGUAUUUUAAACGUAAAUCUACGUUUUCUUGUGAUGAACAAGAUGUUAAUAAAAGGAAUGUUUGAGAUAAAAUAGAUGAAAUGAAUGUUGGGGAUGAAACUAAUGGAACUAAUCUUGAAGAUGGCCCGAUUCAAACAAAUGUCGAGGAUGUUGGGAAUGAAAGUCAUGAAUUGAUGUUGCACAGCUACCUUCAGAUCCUGGAUUGAGAGUUCCAAUACAAAAUUAUGAUUUUAAUGUCCGAGAUAAAAUUCGAAGAACAUAUGUGCAACGGGGUCCUUGUCAGCCUCGCAAUCAUGAAUUUCCACCCACAAGAAUGGCUAACAAAGAUAGGUGAUUUUGUGUUUCAUGGUAUAAUGAGCAUCCUAGUUGGUUAGAAUACAGCAUAGCCAAAGAUGCUGUAUUUUGCUUUUAUUGUUAUCUUUUCAGUUCAAGUGGUGGUUCAUUUGUUAAUGGUGGGUUCUCAAAUUGGAAAAGGAAAGAUAUUAUUAGAAAACAUGUAUGAGCAUCAAAUAGCGCACACAAUCAGGCUCAAGUCCAAUAUGAAUCAUUCAAGAAUCAAGAACAAAGCAUUCAAACCUGUCUCUUUAAACAAUUGCUUCAAACUCGAACAGAGUAUCGAAUUCGUUUGAAUGCAUCAAUUGAUUGUGUUCGAUUUCUUCUACAACAAAGGUUGACCUUUCGUGGACAUGAUGGAUCUAAAGAUUCAAACAAUCAAGGGAACUUUCUUGAACUAUUAUAUUGGUUGUGUGAUCACAAUACUAAGUUGAAGGCGUUGCUUUGACGAAUGCACCUAAAAAUCUGAAAUUAACAUCAUCACGAGUUCAAAAAGAUAUCGUGAGUGCUAUUUCUUCUGAAAUUCUAAACGUGAUUAUCAAAGAUGUUGGUAAUAGUUUCUUUUCUAUUUUAGUGGAUGAAUCUCGAGACAUUUCAGUGAGGGAGCAAAUGUCAGUUGUCAUUCGUUAUGUGAAGAAUGGACGUGUAUUGGAACAUUUUAUCGGUGUUAUACAUGUUUCGAGUACCACAGCUGUCUCACUUAAGGCUGGAAUUGAUCAAUUAUUUUCCACACAUAGUCUAAGUAUAUCUAAUUUAAGAGGUCAGGGAUAUGGUGGAGCUAGCAAUAUGCGAGGUGAGUAUAAUGGUCUCAAAACACUUAUUUUGAAAGAAAAUUCAAGUGCCUACUACAUUCACUGCUUUGCUCAUCAACUUCAACUGGCUCUUGUAGCUGUGGCACAGAAACAUCCAAAGAUAGAAACUUCUUUCACUUCAGUACAUAGAUUGGUGAAUGUUGUAGGAGGAUCAGCUAAACGAAAUGAUCUUAUUUGAGAGAAACAAAGAUUGAAAAUUCUUGAAUCACUUAGUACGGGUGAAAUAUCAAGCGGGUGGGGUCUCAAUCAAGAAACUACUCUUAAGCAUUCUGGUGAUACACGUUGGGGGAUCUCACUACAGUUGUCUACUUAACCUAAUAGUCAUGUUUCAACCACAGUUGAUGUUGUUGAGAUGAUUGCUACUGACACUACAAGUUCUGGAACAAGAUGUGAUGCAUGUAUUUUAUUGGAGUUGAUUUUAAAAUUUGAAUUUGUAUUUAAUCUACAUCUCAUGAGAAAGAUUUUGGAAAUUUCAAAUGAAUUGUCAAAAGCAUUACAAAGAAAAGAUCAAGAUAUUGUUAAUGCCAUGAGAUUGGUACAAUUAUGUAAAGCACGACUCCAAACCAUGAGAGAUGAUGAAUGGGAUUCUUUUUUUGGAAUGGUUUGUUCGUUCUGUGAAGCUCAUGAGAUAAAUGUUCUCAAUAUGGAUGAUAUGUUCGUAACUCUAGGUCGUUCACGACGUGAUACAGUGACAAAUUUGCAUUAUUUUCGUGUAAAAAUGUUUUAUGCCAUCAUUGAUAUGCAACUUCAAGAGCUGAAUGAUCGUUUUUCAGAGGUCAAUAGUGAGUUACUCCUUUGUGUUGCAUGUUUGUGUCCAAAUAAUUCAUUUGUCGCUUUUGACAAGAAUAAAGUGAUUCGACUAUGUCAGUAUUAUCUGGCAGAUUUUGACGCGACAGAUAUCUUGGAACUUGAUGAUCAACUAGAUACAUAUAUCUUUGACAUGCGCACUCACGAAGAUUUUGGAGAAUUACAAGACCUUAAUGAUCUUGCACAGAAGUUGGUUGCAAAAAAUAAACAUGAAGUUUAUCCAUUAGUUUACAAGCUUGUGAUAUUAGCCUUAGUCCUUCCCGUGGCUACUACUACAGUCGAGAAAGCAUUUUCUGCGAUGUCAAUUGUUAAAAAUCGUUUGCGCAAUCGAAUUGGGGAUCAAUGGUUGAAUGAUAGUUUGAUUGCAUAUAUUGAGAAGGAUGUAUUUGACAAUAUUGAAAAUGAUGUCAUUAUGGAACAUUAUCAAAAUAUGAGAACUCGUAGAGAACAAUUGUAAUAAGAUAUCGAAUAUUUAAAUUCUUUCGUCGCCUUUUUGACAAGUUUGAUUGUGCCCCACUAACUCAAAAUGUCUGCGUCCGCCACUGUUCCCCCAGUGGUUGAACCGUUUAAAUCGUAAUAAAAUUAAUCUUCCGCCAUCACCAUUGAAGAGCAUUGUAAUGGGGCUUAAUUUGAUUGCUAGAAAUGAACUAUCACAAUAUUAUUGCCCAUAUGUAUUGCAAAUGGCCGAAAAAAUGCGCCAUGAAUUUAGCAAAAUGCAUUGCCCAGAUCCCUUUUAUUUGAAGGCUAUAUUAAUCAUUUUAGAUGAUUCUUUAUAAUUCGAGGCAAACUUUAAGACCUCGCAUGUUCGGUGUUAGCUUGUAAGACCUUACAUCAUUUAAGGCGAGCCAUAUCUCUUGAAUUUCUUAUUAUUAAAUGCAGCAUUCUAUGAGUCCUCGUUCCUUGAAUAAAGGAAGAGGUAUUUUUUGAAGUCUUUGUUCCUUGAAUAAAGGACGAGGCAAAUUGUUAGAUGUAUUCGCCCUUGCAAAAGGAGCAUUUCCUGACCUAUUCGUGGAUCACUGAGCUUAGCGUUAAGUCCUCGUCUAUCCGAGACUAGUUUAUAAGACUCCGAUAGUUCGACUCUUCGCCAGACGUAUGUUCCCUGGCUUCGCGGGAUGUCUUUUUCUCGCCUCACUAUCGUCGAGCUUAGCUCUAAGACCUCGUCUAUCCGAGGCCAACUUAUAAGACUCCGAUAGUUCGACUCUUUGCCAAACGUAUGUUCCCUCGCUUCGCGGGAUGUCUUUUCCUCGCCUCACUAUCGCCGAACUUAGCUCUAAGUCCUCGUCUAUUCGAGUCCGGCUUAUAAGACUUUGACAGUUCGACAUAUCGUCAAAUGUUUAUUUUAAGGCUCCGCAAGAUGUCUUCCUCACUUCUCACUAUUGUUGAGCCUGACUCUAAGUCCUCGUCAUUCCGAGGUAAGUCACUAAGUCUUUGAUAGUUCGAGACUUAUUCGUGGGAGGUCUAUCUCCCGCCUUGCCAAAUGUUGUUCGCAGCUUGACAAAGUUUCAACCCUCUCGACGCGGAGUCCCCUGUGGGUCAUUGCCUCGGUUGUAGCAUUGCGAAAGCUUUACCGACCUUCAGCCAUCUUCUGCAUCGAUCGCAGAUGAGCUCCUUACUUAGCUUUACAAAGUUUAGACGCACCUGACGCAGAGUUCCCUGUGGGUUAUCUCCUUAGUGGCUACGUUUCCUCCUAAACUUUACAAAGCUUUAGCCGUCUCCCAAUGCGUCGUCCCCUGCGGGUUAGCGCAUCAGUGACGGAUGAGCUCCUUCCUCAAGCAGGCAUUGAAGCUUCAGCAUCUCAGUCGAAGAUGUGUCCCGACCUUCAGCUUCACAACCUUUAGCAUCUCCCAUGCAUUGUCCUAUUAUUCAGAGCUUCGGUAGAGACAGCUGAACCUACAACCACAGCAGCAACCAUACACUCAGCUGAUCUUAAAAAGUUAACGACUGGUAUACAUCAAUAUGCUUCAGUAUCAGUACAGCUGCUUAUAUUUAGUCCAGAGCAUCGUCUCUACUACUACAUCUAGAGCAUCGCCUCUGCUACUAUGUCCUAAGCAUUCCCUCUGUUACUACAAUCAGAGCAUUACUACUGUAACGCCCCGAUCCCUAGUGGACCGAAACGCUACUUACUUUACUUAACUUAACCGAUAGUUUAGUAACAAGUGUAUACGUUUUAGCGGAAGCUUACAUCUUAAGAUAAUAAUUUAAAUAAUAAUACUUCAAAUACUUUAAACAAAAAUACUGAAUUAUUUUUCAAAACAACAAAAUAUAAUCUAUUUGAAGAAAACAUAACUUGUUCUCGCAUUCUGCGUUAUUCAAAUAUUUAAAGAAAUAAUAUUGGAAAACAUUUCAUAAAAAUAAAUCCAAAUCACUUAUUCACCGGAUUUCCAGGGGCUCGUUGCAUCACUCUCCAUCUUCUCCUUCAUCCAUUCCCGAGGUAAAAUUCCUUCAAUCUAUAGAGAUGGGAUUAAACCCGUGAGUUGAAAAACUCAAUAAGUGUCAUAGGUGUAUUCGUGAUCAAGCUAUACAUUUCAAAACAUUAAUUUUAUAACUUUUCAUACAUGCCGUACCCGGAGGCACCAUUUGACAUUAAGGGGUAUGCCGUACCCGAGGGUACCAUUUGACAUGCGAACAUUUCUUUAACAUAGAGGGGUAUGCCGUACCGGAGUACCAUUUGAUAUACAGCCAUUAACAUAGAGGGAUAUGCCGUACUGGAGUACCAUUUGACAUACAAAUAUUAACAUGAAUCGAAACUUAUAACUUAACACGAUUAAACACAUUGUACCUCUACCUACCUUGAUUGAUGCUUUUAAAACUUUGAAAACUUGGAUUGAAAACUUCGAUGAAACUUGGACGUUGAAAGAAAUGCACUCCUUGGAUGUUUGAAAACCGUUGAUAAUUGAUGCUUGAAGACACUCCCUGAUAGCACCCAAAACUUCUAUGAAAAAUGUUUGAAAACACUUCUUAAACUUCUAGGAAAAAUAGUUUUCCUCCCUCUCUUUUUCUCUCUUGGAAACUCUUUCUUUAGUAUGUAAAAGCUCUUGCCUUUGGUGUGAGAAAAAAUGAGUGAAAUGAGGUCUCUAUUUAUAGGUAAAUAUCCCAUAACUUAAAGCAAAUGAAGGGUCAAAUUUCAUUUAAGAGAGAAAACAUGGGUGCCAUCUAAAUUUGAGGUUAAAUGCUUCAAUUUAGUGUGAUUUUUAUUGCCAAAAACGUGGGUGGCCCUUUGAGAAAAUAAUUGAUGAAAAUAAAUAUUUAAAUUCUAGAGAAAAACUAGAAUUUUCAUUUCAGGCAGUUUCGGUCGACCGGUUGUAGUCCGGUGGACACUACACAACUUUCAGUGUUUUUAUCAUAACUUCUUCUCCCGAUAUCCGAUUGAGGUAAUUCAAAGUGCGUUGGAAAGCUAACUCAAAGAGCUACAACUUUUAUUUAGAUAUCAUUUUCCAAAUCGAAUGUUUCCUAUAUCGAAAAUAUGUCUCAAAUGAGACUAAAAAUCUGAAGUAUACUUUAAUCAUCCAAUAUUCAUGUUUUAGUGCCACUAAGGUGUCUAGAAUUAUUUGGAGUUCUACAACUGCAGCAUCCAACGCAUCGCCCUUGUCGCCUAUGCUACUUACAUUCAAAACAUCGCCUCUACAUCAACUUUAUCACAAUGGUACUUCAAGUCCGACCCCUAUAUAAAUAUUCGACUCAGACUUGGGGGGCUGCAUAUUACUGCUAGCAUACGCAUCACAUUACUGUUUCCAAGCAUGAAUGACAUAUCACUGCAACCAUAUCAUACAUUAUUUUCAUCACAGUCAGUACGUAUGUCGUGGCAUCAUUAUUUUCAUUUUAUUGUCGACAUCAUGUUACUUGCUUUACUACAACACCAUCGAUACACUGAGUUGUGCGAGUACAUGAUUUACUAUAAUGUAUGACAGACCCUCUGCACAUAUCUUGGAGAAUGUGAUAUGUUACACCUUAUGAGCAUUUGAAGGGGCAAAUGGACCCCAAAUUUAUUUGGUAUAUGUGUUGUGAAUAUAUUGUAUUGUAUUACAAGAUUGGUUUAGUCCAUAUUAUAGGGGAGAUGCUGCAGAAAUUUUCAAAAAAUAUAUGCGGUAUAUCGUUUGAGGCAAUUCGUAAACCCUCGCUUAUUCUGACACAUAUUUUCGAGGCAAUUCGUAAGUCCUUGCUUGUUGGAGCUACCCAUCUUUGUGAGGCAAUCUGUAAGACUUCGCCUACUUGACAGUUCAUAUUUCAAGUCCGACCCACAUAUAAAUAAUACGACUUGAACUUGGGGGCUAUUGUUAUGCUUAUAAAUUAUCACUCCAUAUUGGGUCAUCUUAUUGGACCCGAGCCAGGCCCAUUGGUGUUGGGCCCCAAAGCUGAGGCUCUGACAAGGCCAACCGAGGCCCUAAGAAGUCUAACUGAAGUGCCUAUUAAUUUGCUCACCUCGUAUUGGGCUCAAACUUAGGCCCACUAACCCGUUUGGCCCGCUUCACAUCUAUUUCUCUAUAUAUAUGGAUUCAACUCACAAUCAUGUUAUGGUUCACAUUCUCUAGCCAAAUCCCCAUAUUCAUACUAUUGCACUCUAUAUAUUUAUUUUCGUCCGACCGUUCACUUGACCGUCGGAGUGCAAACAGUCGUCGGACCUUUUUCUUGUCCGACUGCCUUUACCUCUUGACGUGGUGUUACAUGCGCAGGUUUCGAGGGGAUAAGGUUAGGGAAUCUGUUGGAGCCAUUUUUGGAGGUCAACACCAUAAGUCAAUCAAAUUUAGUAAAAAUGCCUUAUUCGUGUCGAAGAGUUUGGUAACGACGGACUUAAAUCAUUGCUUUGGAUCGAACCUUCACAAUCAAAUAGUUUGCGUUCCCUCUCCCUUCUCAUUAUCGUUUUAUAUUGUGCUUAUUAAUCUUCCUUAUUUUACUGCAUAUUUGUGUGUAUCUAUUUUGUUGCUAACAUUAGUUAGUACAUUUUUUUUUAGAUUUGAAUUAUUUCUCGUAAAAGUUUUAAAAAUCAAUUUACCUCUCAAUUAGAUAGCUAUUCUUGGACUUUCAGGUUCAACUUUAAUCUUUAAACUUCUAGAUUUUAUUAAUGCCUUUGUUUUCUGUAAAACAAAAAAUAUUUUAUUUUAGUUAGCCAUCCAACGAUGAUUAAUCCAUUAAAUCAAUGACGUAUCUAUUUGAUGCUUCGAUUGAGUCAAUGAUCGGAUCAAGUUUGAUAAUUAUAAUUUGGACCACCACAUUUGUUCGUAAAUGCACCACGUUCUUAUUGAAUUAAAGGUCUUUAAAACUUGUUUCAUGUCACGUUAUGUCCCUAUUUUUUUCAACACAAUUUUAUCCUUUAUUUUUCAUUAGUUGGCAAAUUUUGUCUUUAAUGAUAAUUUUAUCCAAAAAAUUCAAUUAACAUGCUUUCAAACGAGUGAAAAAUAGUUAAUCAUAAUUUCAUAUUAGUUUUUGUUUUUUAGUUAUCUUAAUAAUGUGAGGGACAUAAUUUUUUUUAUCCCUCUUAGUAGAAUUGUUGGACAAAAAUUGUCAAUCAUAAUGUGUUAAUUAAUAGAAGGUUGGGAAUAAAAGUGAAAUAUAAAGAAGUUAAAAAUAUCAGCGUACAACGAGUAAUGGUCAAAAAUAUUUUUAUGUAAUUAUAAGUGAUGUAAUUAUCAAAAAUAUGAUGUCAAUAUAUUUAGUUAAAAUGAAUUACACAUUUGGAAGUAAAAUCCUUUUUCAUUAUGUUUGGUGCACACAAGUUUGACUAAUUCGCAUAUUUAUAAAAAAAAAUAAAAAAAUAAAAUUCCUUGUCCACAAUAUUUUGAAGACAAAAGGAAUGUCAUCAGUGAUAUAAAUGAAAGAAUAAUAUUAUUUGCAGUCGCUCAUUAUUGCAGCUACUCUAUGUAGUAUAUAUGUGGCAGUUAGUGAUUUGAUAUCUAAGACAAUAAAAAAUUUAUCAUAUUAAUGCGUCAAAUCACUAAUCGUCAUAUACAUGUCAUAUAAGACGACUAUGAAAAUAAGUGAUUACAAAUAACAUUACUCUAAAUGAAAUUAUAUACAAAUAGCAAAUUUCAAUUUUUUUACCCACACUUUCCAAAACCCACUUGAUCCUACCAGAGCACCCCACGUGUCCAGUUGUACAGUGUUUUAAAUGCAGACAUAAGCAAACUCGUCCUGUGAUGCGCAGCUCAUCCAGAUGGAUCCCAUUUUUCUUCGAUCUAUGUAGUAACAGUCAAAUCCGAUGGCUGUUCUUCCACUGUUCUUACUUUGACUCCGUUAUCACUCAUUUGGUACAAUUUCCGUAUCCUGUAACAGUUUCGCAUAAAAACUAACGGUCGUUAACAAUUAAGGGGUUAGAAUUAUGGAUGAUCUAAUCCAACUCUGAGUGGAACAUCAACUUGGCCGCUAAACUUUAUUUUCUUACAAUAAAGUUACCCAACUUGUGAAUUUGUACCGUAUUUGUCACUCCAUCCACCAAGGCACCAAUUUUUACUUAAACAAAUGUCUGUGUUCUACGUUUAUGUUAAUAUUUUGAAGCUCGUUGACAUGUCAAUUAAAACCCUACCAAUUUAUACAUGAAUGGCCGGACAAAAUCAUUUAUAUUUGAACAAUCCAUUUUUUGCUCAUUUAACGUUUUCAUAAAAUUCAUUCUUCUAUCAUUAAAGAAGUGAAAUAUCUUUGAUUUAGGGCAAAAUUAAGAGUUCUCCAAAAGAAAUACGAAAUUGAGAAGAACAAAAAUUAGAUUCUACGACUGAUAAUGCAAAUUGAUUUUGAUGCGCAGUUAAAGAUCCCAAUUGUUCUUCCAAGAAGAGGUUUUGUGCUUUGCUACCACUAUCACAAUCAUUUGUGAUGGUGUAAUUAGUACAAAAGAAAAUCUUCAACUCUGAUUGAUAAAGGAAACUGCAUAAAUUCAGCUCAAGGCCCUAUAUUUUCACAGGACGAAAAAGUCCUUUAAAUAUCGUCUUUACCUAUUUUUCGAGACAUGCAAGAAAAAAAGGACCAAGAUGAAAUAGUAAUUUUUCAAGGUCAGAAAAGAAAUUCAUCUCUACAAAAAGAUAAUCUGACUUAAUUACCCAUUGAUCAGAGACGAAUGGAGGGGGAGACCGCCCAAAGGCCAUUUUUUUCAAAUUUUUUGUUUGUAAAAACAGUUUUAUUGUAGUUCGGUCCGAAAUUUUGUUGUCCGAACUUGAAUUCAGUCCUGGAUCCGCUUUGAUGAAGAAUUUACUGAGAAGCUGUAAUAGAAAGAGAGUGCCUGUUCAAAGUUUUUUUUUUAUCAAACUUUAAUUUUAAUUACAUAUCAUGUAUUAAAAUUCACCAACAAAGAAACUUGAAGUAUGGAAAUAGCAUCAUUGCACAGUGCCCUGCCUACACAUCAGCCCACGUGGCGCAUGUAAUAAAAUAAGGGAAAAAACCACGAGGGGCGAAAAUAUUAAUAGAUAAAGCAGCAGUCAGAAGAAGAAUAUAGCAAUUGUAUUAUACACAAAUUUAUAAUAAUAGAGAUAAAGAGCUGUACUUGGGAAUAUGCAUAAUUAAGAAUUAUAUAAUAAGCUAAAAUAUGACGCCGACGGCCAACCAAAACAAAUUCAUAGCUUGGUUGGAGACUUUUCUUCUCUACCCAGAGACACUGUCCGACAACUCACCCAACACAGCUCUGUAGCUUCAAUUUUCAGCUACUGGUUUAUACAUUUUUUUCCUUUUCUCUCUCUUUAUCUGAAGGUUUGUUCGGUUUCUUGGUAAUUUUGUAUUAGAUAUUUUGACGAAAAGGGUUAGUGCAUGUGGAUAAAUGUAGUUAUAAAAAUAAAAGACUGUUUUUUGAUAGAUCGUCGGGGUUUAUUACAUCCGGUGCCCGUUUUAAGUUCACUGAUCAGCUUGAUUUUUGGUGUUUUUAUGAAAUCAUUUUUUCUGGGUUCAUAUGAUGAGUUCACAUUUUUUAAUUUUUUUUUUGCUGGUUGGUUCUUCAGUAUAUGAGCUUUUUAAAAGUUAUUUAUUGAAAUUCAAAUUUUUUUAUAGAGUUCCAAAUUUAGGUGCGAUUUUUUUAAGUCUAUUUAGGAGUAGAGGUUAUGACUUAUGUCAAAACGCUUGAACACAAUAUGGAUACAUGGGAGUUUGUUGUGAUUAUAUUUCAGAGUUCGACUCUUGAUUCUGUUUAUGCUAACUAUGUAAAUUAGAUUCAUGGUAUGCUGAUUAGCUAGAUUUGUUGGAUGCAAUUUAACAUAGUGCGAAAAAGUGCUAUUGAUCACAAGUUCAUUACGCCCAAGUCUAAACUUCUUGGGUUGUUCAAGUUAUUUAUUUGGAUGUGUGUAAAAUGUAGCAGAGGUUUAUGUUGAUCUAUGAAUUUCAAUUGUAUUAAUCUGUAUCUUUCAUAGAGUACUUAGUAUGCAUAUGGUAUAUUGAGUUUCAAUAUAGUUUCAUGUGGUAAAUUACGAUCUGUUCUAAUCAAUUUGUUAUAGUAAAUUGAGAUUCAUUUAAUGAAAUGGGCAUUUUUUCUCAAUGUUAACCCGUUUGAUCUUUUCGUAGAAUUCGUGACUAAGAGAGAGAAUGUCAAGUGGGGGAACUCAGAAUAGUUUAAGAAAAACGCUUGGAGCUCUCAAGGAUACGACCACUGUCAGUUUGGCUAAAAUAAAUAGUGACUACAAGGUAUUGUUAAGUGUUUGUACGUAUAAAAAGUAUAUUUCUCUGGUCUCUGGUUUUAUUUAGUAUCUUCUUUUUGCAGGAAUUGGACAUUGCCGUUGUGAGGGCUACAAAUCAUGUUGAGCGCCCAGCAAAAGAAAAACACAUAAGAGGUGGGUAACUGUGAAGGGUGACAUGGCUGUCACGUGUUGAGGAUAUGCACCAAAAGGCUGUCUUCAACUUAUCUUUUAUAACAUGAUUGUUCUUGGCUUCCAAAAUGGUUACCUGAUGGACUGUUACGAAUUUUAUUUUCAGCUAUCUUUGCUGCUAUAUCAGCUACCAGGCCUCGAGCUGAUGUUGCAUAUUGCAUACAUGCUCUUGCAAGACGUUUGUCAAAAACUCAUAAUUGGGCGGUAUGUGUUUGAGACGCUGCUAACAAUUUACUUAAUAAUGAUGGUAAAAAAUAAAAAAUAAAAAUUGUGUGGCUGGCAGUUGAAAACUGGGUAAAGAAAUAUGGUUUUUUUUUUGUCAUUUAGUAAUGUUCUUGUAUUGAUGUCAAAAUCUGUCAACACUCAUGAUGCAAAUCUCCUGAUAUUGCUUUGUGAUUUAGAUCUGGCGAUAUACCUAUAAAAAUACAUAUGUCUUAGGCAGUUUUGUCCGGUGUAGGGCCUUUACUGCUCAAAUCAUCAGGUAUAGGAGGAAUAUGGAGUGAUAAGUACACAAAAUAUUACAAAUAAUUCACUUGCCAAUACUUUUUCCCAUGAAGGGUUUACAUACUUAUAAAUGGCAAUACACAUAAAUCUGGUAGUUCCCUCAAAACUUCCUUAUCUAGCCAUAUUAAUUAUUACGCUUCAUCCUUAAUUUGGAAGUUAUCUUCAACAACAUGCUUUUCCAUGUCUUUUAUGUUUGGAUCUAAGAUAUAUUGAAUAUAUCACAAUGUAGUAAUUAUUAUAAGUAUGUAAUAUCUGGUGGAGCAGAGGAGGUGCUGUAGUUGUGUAAGGCUCUUCUUACUGGCUCUACACACCGGUUUGAGUCUCACCCUUCCUUUCCAUGUAAGGUCCAUUUAGGGUUUUUGUAAAGAAUGUACUCCAUACUCCUCUCUAAGGAUAUUUAAGUUUUUGUAUUUGAUGUUUAGUUCAUCAAUUUUUUGGGUUAUGAUGAACCCUUUAGAGUUUCAUAUUUAUCAUAGCUUGCUUGUCUUUGACAAUUAAGUCCUUGAUUAACUAUCCAACUCCAUCAUUGGGGCUUUAGCUGUUAUAUCUAGUAUGAUUUGGGUGUUGACAAUGAUUAUUAAUGAGGAGUGUAAUGACUGCUCAAUGUUUAGCAGAUCUUUUACAAUUGGUUAGGAUCCAUGAUUUUGGCAAGCAAAACAAGAGAAGAGUGUAAUAAAAGGCUUAGUUUAGAAGCGUGUGGUGGUUUCAAUAUCAAAACAUAUGAUAUCAAGUGGAGUAGCCAAUUGAUUAAACACUUCUGUAGAUUGGUAUCAAGAAUCAAUUCAGGACAAGUGUCUUAACCCCAACCAUCAUAUGUGACAUGGGAGAAUGAGCUGUUUAUGAGCUAAUGAUGAAAAUGACUCUACUUUGGUGCAAUAACAGAUCUCGGACAAUGCUUAUUAACAAAGAGCUGCGAUGCUUGGACUCGGGUGUGAUGUAUAUUUGGGAGUUGGAUCCUUUUUUUUAUUUUUUAUUUUUCCUAAUAUCUAGGACAUGGGGAUAUGGCUAAAGAUGAUCCAAAAAAUAGACAUGCGUCAGUGGAUACUCCUUAUAAUCUUAAAACUGCAUCAGAUUUUCUGGGGAGAUAUAUUAUAUAUUUUCCUGUAAAUCUAUAACAAAUUAAAUUGCAAAUUUAAUACUUCAUUUCAAGUCUAGAAAUGUGAAUUACAAAUUAAAAAUAAUUUUAAAUACGAUUUUAAAUUAACAAAAACGAUAUAAGAGAUCCUCUUUUGAUUUAAAGGAUAUCAUACCAUUAUCCUUGUCAUGUGUGACUGAGACGGGAACUUCCACAAAAAUGGAGUCUUCAAGCAAGCAUAGACAAAGAGGUUGAUCAAAAUGUCUUCACACUUUUUUGUAUGGUUGCACAUAUAUGAGAAGUACUUUCAAAAAAUUAUGUAUAUUGGAAAGAGGUUUCCAGAAAAAGAAUGUAUAGGAAAGAGAGAAACUAUGUGAAAAAAUUGUGCAGUUUUUGAGCAAACGUUUGUGUGUGAGCUGAGGCUUACGGACUUUGAUUUUAUUUUCUCUUUCAUGGCGUUUUCUCUUCCUUGAGUUCCAAGAUCUAAAUGGAACUUGGCGUAUGAUUGUUUACUAGUUAAGGAAAUGUGUAGUUGAGUCUCAUUUAUCAAUAUUGUAUUCUAAUCUGAACUUGUCCUUAUUCCUUGAACUCUUUUUUUUAAGCUACAGAUUCGGGAAUUCAUGUGCAUGUUAUCUAUGUGCAUAUGUGAAGUUAUUGGUAUGCUAUGCAUAGAUGGUCUGCUUUUGUUAUUGAGAGAGGUUAUAUCGAGCUUCUAAAUGAUAUUUCUUCGUUGAAACUGCGAACACCUUAAUAUUCACUUUACUGCGACUUGUAUAGUUUUCUGAUGCUUCUAAUUUAUUUUGAAAUUGCUUUUUCCGUUUGCUUGGUUUUCUAGUCAUAAUACAUGAUAAUUGGCUAUUUAUUAUCUUCCUCAGUAAUCUUCCUUGUCUUUUAGGUUGCCUUAAAAACUUUGAUAGUAAUACAUCGUGCAUUGAGAGAGGUCGAUCCCACAUUCCAGGAAGAACUUAUCAAUUAUGGUAGGAGCAGGAAGCAUAUGCUUAACUUGGGCCAUUUUAAGGACGACUCAAGUCCAAAUGGUAUGUUUUUAUUUUAUUUCACAAGCCCUGCAAUUUUACAGCAGCAAAUGUCUUGGUAAUGAAAUGCUUGUAUUUCUUGACCAGCCUGGGAUUAUUCUGCAUGGGUGCGUUCCUAUGCAUUAUUUUUGGAGGAGAGGCUGGAAUGUUUCCGGUUGUUGAAAUAUGAUGUGGAGAAAGAGACUCCGGUGAGAAAUUUAUUAAUAUCAAGCUCUGUUUAUUUAUGCUGUGCAACAGUUCACUCUAUGUUUAUCUGUUGGAUUGAGCUAUGAGUUAUCCACUUUUCCAUUAUCAUGUUGAAUUAUACACUGGAGCUUAUAUGCUUAUUUAUACUGCUGCUUUGGUUGCCUUUUCCCUUGGUAAGGUGGUACUCGAUGUGUGAUCUGCAAAUCUGUGCACCUCUAAAUGCAUAGGGCCAAUUAAUAACUAGUCACAAUAUGAAACAUCAUCUCUUCCUUUCAAUAAUCUGUUAUAGUUAUGACUGCCUUUUAACACAUUCAUGUAUUUAUUAGGUUCUCUUUUUCUAAAACUUAAUCUCUGCCCUGUCGAUAUAUUUUUCACAUGGAACCUGGUUUAUCCCUAAUUUUUAAUAUUUUAAUUUUUAUAUUAUUUUUUAAUGAAGUUGAAGAUCCUCAUCAAUGUUAGAACGAAGUGCUUGUACAAUCGAGACUUCCGAGCAUCAUGUUCUAAUGACCUACAAGAAAAUUCUCUUUGCUAUUUUCAGAAAAUACUCAUUCUGUGUAUAUUAGCACAAUUGAAUUAUUUUCCUUGUUGAUAAUUCCUAAAUGCAAAUAAUGAUGCAGAGAACAAAAGAUUUGGACACUCCAGAAUUGCUUGAGCAAUUACUGGCUUUACAGCAACUUCUAUUUCGGGUUCUUGGUUGUCAGGUAAUUUCUGUCACUGAUGUGAUUGCUAAUUCUAGAUCAUUCAUAAAUUUCUGUCUUGGUAAUGUUAAAGCUCAUGUCAAUAACUUAUUUCUUCAACGUGUAAUAUAUUCAUUUGUCACUUUUUUUCCCUAAUAAUUUGAGCUAUAAUGAUGUUAAAUUUUUUCAGCCACAAGGAGCGGCAGUUCAUAAUUUUGUUAUUCAGUUGGCCCUUUCUAUGGUACAUGAAGUCUUAAUUUUCACAUUUACCUUUAAAAUAAAAUAAGAGACUUUCUUCCACAAUGUCUUGCGAUUCUCUAUUGUUAUUUCAUGUAGGUUGCUUCAGAAAGCAUCAAAAUUUAUAAUGCAAUAAGUGAUGGUACAGUUAAUUUGGUUGACAAGGUAUGUUACAACUUAGAAUAACUCUAAACUAUCUAUUACUCAAGGAACGGUUGAUUUAUGGGGCUUCAUUCUUGACAGUUCUUUGAGAUGCAACGGCAUGAUGCUCUUAAGGCUUUGGAUAUAUACCGGCGAGCUGGCCAGCAGGUACACCCAUCAGACGUUAUUUUCAAGAGUUCAACUAUUUAGUGUAUCUGUGGGGAGAUUUUUCUUUUUUUUUUCCUCCCUCAUACGAGUAUCUUUAUACUACUAAAACUAUUCCAGGCCGAGAAAUUGUCAGAAUUUUAUGAAGUAUGUAAGAAUCUUGACAUUGGACGUGGAGAAAGAUUUAUCAAGAUUGAGCAGGUUAGACUUUCUUGGUACCUUUAAGAAGAUAUUCUAAUUUAGUUUGACUUAGACAUUGUAAAGUUUCUCAUUACCUUGUUUUCUGAUGAUGAUGAUGAAGCCCCCUGCAUCAUUUCUACAAGCUAUGGAGGAGUAUGUGAGAGAAGCACCACGAGGUUCCUCUGUUCGCAAGGAUCUGGUAUGGAUCUCUCUUGAGUCAUGAAUAUAGGCAAUAUCUCUAUCUCCAUACACACACAUGGACACGUGUGUUCGCGCGCACAUGUGCACCCUGGUGUUUGCAUUAGGGAGAGGAAUUGCCUCCUUUAUUUUAUAGUUAGUCAUGGGUUGGAUUUGAAGUCCCCAUCCAUAUAACCAAUCAUGUACGAUUGAUUGAAUCCAUUGGCUCCUUAUCCACCCAUCAAAACAGAUGCUUCGGGAUAGUGAAAAGAAAAAACUAUAAUUAAAUGUGAUGCUGGCAAAAUUUUAAGGCUCUGGUGUAAUCUUAAUGAUCAUUACAUCUGUCUUCAUCAUAAUCCUGACCCACAAAUCUAUAUUUACAGAAAAAUUUUGGUUAUUGACGUUCCAGGAACAUUUUGAGUUUAGACUAGGGGUGGGCGCGGUUCGGUUCUAAAGAGAACCGAAUCGAUCCAAAAUUUUCGGGUAUUUAGUAAAUGGAAUCGUCGGGUCCAAAUAUAAUUAUGGAACUAUUCGGGUUCGAUUCGGUUCGGUUCUGUACUAUAAUUAAAUUUUUUAACAUUUAUAACAACAUUAUAUAAAUCCAAUUAAUGAUAUAUUCAAUGGUUUUGAAAUGUCAGAGACAAGUAGACUACUUUGUUUAAAUGAUCGUUACGGUCAAAAUUUCGGUUGGGGGGUCACAGUUUCGAUUGGAGGUCACAGCAUCGAUCGACGAUUAUAUAGGUUUUGGAAUGUCAGCGAGUUUGCGAGAGUCGAGACAGCGUUAUGCACUUUAGUGUAGAUGUUUAGGGUUAUUUAGUGGAUUGGAUCUUGUUGGGCUAAAAAAUGAGACGAUAAAAUGGGUAAUUGGGCCAAAAAUUAAAAAAUUAGAAAUGAAACAAAUUAUUGGGCCAAAAAUUUGGAUUUAGAAAGUGUUAAUUUGUUUAGAAAAAAUUAAAAUUAAAAUAAUUUGAUUUAUUCAAUAUAAAAAAAAAUUAGAAAAAUUCGGUUUUUAUUCGGUUCUUCGGUUCUUGGUCUAGAACCGAGAACCGAACAGUACCCGUUGGUUCUCAAUUCAGAUACCUGUUCGGAUAAUUAAUUUGACAAGAACCGUCGGGUUCGGUUCGGUUCGGUUCGGGUUCGAUUUGGUUCGGGAGAUUUGUCCAACUCUAGUUUAGACUGCCUUUAUAACAUCUGAAUUCUGAUCCAUCUCACAAAUUUACUGGGGAACGACCAUUCAUCGAUAUAUCUAGUCACAUAUAUUUAUUAUGAGAAUGUAGCUCAAACAUUCUCGAGAUAUUAUUCAUAUUACUCAUUAUUUUUAUGGUUUUAUGACAUGUACUGAAUCAAGAAUGUUGAUUUAAAGUCAAAGGUGAUAUUACCCAUAGAGUACAAAAAGAAUUCAGAAGUGAAGGAAGAUCGCGCACCAUCACCACCUCCAGCUGGUUCGAUUUGGUUCGGGAGAUUUGUCCAACUCUAGUUUAGACUGCCUUUAUAACAUCUGAAUUCUGAUCCAUCUCACAAAUUUACUGGGGAACGACCAUUCAUCAAUAUAUCUAGUCACAUAUAUUUAUUAUGAGAAUGUAGCUCAAACAAACAUUCUCGAGAUAUUAUUCAUAUUACUCAUUAUUUUUAUGGUUUUAUGACAUGUACUGAAUCAAGAAUGUUGAUGUAAAGUCAAAGGUGAUAUUACCCAUAGAGUACAAAAAGAAUUCAGAAGUGAAGGAAGAUCGCGCACCAUCACCACCUCCAGCUGAACCAGAACUGAAGCCAGAACCAGAACCAGUUAAAGUGGGAGCACUUGUUACAGAACCACCUGAUCUGCUGGUAAUUUUUAGAAUAUUGACAGGUUCAUGAUAUUGAGCUUUUCUUUGUUUUGGUAACUUUAUGCUUUGAACAAUUUUUGAGCUUCUCGACGACCAAAUUUCUCUAUUUUAAAGGGUCUGGACGAUCCUGUUCCGGCUGCCUCUAUGUUAGACGAGAAGAAUGCAAUGGCUUUAGCCAUUGUGCCAGUUGGUAAGUCUAAUUUACUUGAAAAAGAUUGAAACUUUACUCGUCUUUCUUAGUAUUUGGAUAAAAUAAGAGUUCUUUUAUUCUGGUUGAUUCUAUUUAACAUAUUUUUUUCAUAUAUAAACACAAGAUCUGGAAAUUAAUAAAUUUGAGGGUUUAGUGUAGGCACGUUGGUUAAAUGCUGUCAUUGAAUAUCACUUGGUCUUUAGGACGAGCUGGAUAUUCAUAAAAUACUUGUUGCCAUUGUAGGUGUUGCGGAACAACCAGCUUCCGUUGGACCAAAUCUUUCAAAUGGAACUACGGGCUGGGAACUAGCUCUUGUUACGGUGCCGAGCUCCAAUGAGAGUGGUACUGCUGCUAGCAAACUGGUAUUGUUCACCAUCUUCCUUGGAAUUUUUCAAUUGCUUCACCAAUAAAAUGUUUAAAAUAUGUAAGAAUGCUGUUUUUUGGGAUUAAACCUUAAUCCUGAACUUUGAUAACCAUAAUAAACAAAAUGUCAUCACAAAAACACAUAGAUAGUGGUUCACCUUCAAUAGAAGUUGCGUACAUUACACUUGGAGCUUCAAAUUUUUCACCAUAGAUACCAAGUUUUUUCACCCAAUGUCUUCUGUACUGAAAAACAGCCCCCCCUAAAUUUCUCUAUAAAAAAGGAAUAUUAGGGUAACAUAACACACGCAGACAGCUCGAUGCUCCCCUGAAUAGUAAAUGUCUCACGGGCAUUGCCCUAAUUCAUGUAAUGUUUUUUAGCUUAAAAGGCACAUUUGACGCGAGUACUUUAAUUGAUGAUUUUUACUUUGACAAAGGCUGGUGGACUGGACAUGCUUACACUAGACAGCCUAUAUGAUGAUGCAAUCCGAAGAACCAACGAGAAUGUUAGCUACAAUCCAUGGGUACAAGCUCCAACCGCCACUCCCAUGAUGCCACAAACUGCACCCGACCCAUUCUAUGCCUCCAACGUAAUGGCUUCACCACCUUCCGUGCAAAUGGCUGCCAUGGCCAACCAACAACAGGCUUUAAUGUUCCAGCAGCAGCAGAUGAUGAUGAUGAUGGGGCCACAGCGGCCUGUGAACCCUUUUGAAACCCCAUAUGGAGCCAACAGCUACCCAUACGCCUCAGGUAUGCCAGAUCAAGCCUAUAAUCCUCAUCCAGGCCUUAUUUAAGUAUUUCCAACGAUAACAUUUUUUGUUGGAAAUGCGAGAAGGAUGAACAUGAAGCUUUAGUUAGUACUUAAUUUUACUCUGGAUUGAUAUUCGAAGAUGGAUGAUUUGUAUCGUAUGACGUGUCCAAAUUAUAGGUAGGAAUUCAAUUAGAUGUUUUUAUGAUUAAGUAGAAGCAAUUAUUUUGCUUGUUGAAAAAUAACUUCAGGCAGUUGGUAAUAAUGCUUUCGGGGUUUGAACGACUUUCCUUGUACCCAUCUAUGUUCGAACAGGGUCGAUUUCUUGUUUAUGGGAUUCUGUAACGCUGUUUUUGUUUCCCUCUGAUGUGUAAAGUUUGUCAUUGAUCAAUCAUUCAUGUAUUGUUUGAACAAAUUUGCUCUAGUGAUUCUUAAAUGUUUUGUUGCUCCUGUCUUUUCUACUCUCUGAAUUUUCUUCCUCGAUGUUUUGUGGCCUUCUUUUUGUUUGUCUCUGGUAUUAUUUCCUCGCUGAUGGCAAAUAUGGAUGGUAUAAUCUGAGACUAUACAAGAGUAACAAGACAUUUGAAAGAUCUUGUUCCUAAUAAAUUUUGAAUUGGAAGAUUCAAAGUGACUCUUACGGUCCGUUUGGAAUGACUUAUGAUUUACUUCUUGUAAAUAAGCUUCUUGAAUUGGCCAAUUUUGUUAAAAAAUUAUCUAAACAUGUUUAAAAGCAACUUCUUGUUAGCAAUAUCACAUAGCGUGGCAACAAGAAAAGGAUGCGGAUCAAAAGAUUUAUAAGGAGACCCAGAAAUCUUGGAGUGAUGAGGUUGAUAUCCUCACAAUAAUCAAAAAUCAAUGGUGAAAGUUUCGAGGGAUCAAGAAGAUUCGGGGUCAAUUAAUGCAAAUCAAAAGAUAGUUCAACAAGAUGAGAAGAUCUUGUAUGAUAAAAUCAGGUAAGUAUUACAGUGAUACAAAAUGCAAAGUUGUUUGUUAUUUGAUAAUUAUCUUAUCUUUGGAUAAAAACUAGCCAAAAAUAAAUAAAUAAAUAAAUAAAUAAAAUAGUGGGGAGUUGUCAAUCUUGUUUUAUUGUAAAUAGGAAUCAAUAUGUGGUAGGUGUUCAUGCCCCAUUAUCAUCAUUCAAUAAAGUUAUAAACAUUUUUUUUUAUGAAAGCAAUGAACACUUGGUACACCACAACUCUUCUCCUUCACUAUCCUAAAUGUUGGAAACUUGAUUACAUUCAAAAUCACCUAUCAAAUUACCCUUAUGGUGCGAACAAGACUGAGCUCUUGCAAAAUGUCAAAUCUGGAGUGGUCAUCCAUAAUAAUUCUUUUCCAUCAAAUACGUCAAACCAAAUAAAUAAAUUAAUUAAAAUAAAUGUCAUCUCAAAAUUAACAAAUGAGUUCAAGAAUAGGUUCAUCAUCUCAUCAAUAAAGACCUUGUUCGGUCAAAUACAUCACAUCAAUUUCAAACAACACUACAAAAAACUCAUACCAAAAUUAAAAAAUAAGUUCAUCGCCUGACGAGUUUCCAAUCUCCUUUAUAAGUGGAUCAUUGAAACAUUGAAGAAACCAUCGAACUCAUUAUUUGCUUAAACACAACUCUUGCAAUAUGAGCAGUACAUAAAAUGCAUAUGCACAAAACCAUUUGUGGGAGUAUGUUAGCAAUAUCUCACAGCUUGGCAACAAAAAAAAAAAGAAAGAAAAAAAGAAAAAAGGAUGAGGAUCAAAAGAUUGAUAAGGAGUCACAGAAAUCUUCAAGGGAUGAGUUUGAUAUGCUCACAAAAAAAAAUAAAAAUGGAGAGAAUUUGAGUGAUCAAGAAGAUUUGGGGUCAAUUAAUGCAAACCAAAAGAUAGUCCAACAAGAUGAGAAGAUCUUGCAUGAUAACAUAAGUUAAGUAUUACGAUCGCACAAAAUGCAAAGUUGUUAUUUUGUUAUUUGAUAAUUAUCUUCUCUUUGGAUAAAAAUUAUCAACAAAGAUAGUGGAUAGUUGUUAAUCUCGUUUUAUUAUAAAUAGGAAUUAAUGUGUGGUAGAUGCUCAUGAGUCAUAAUCAUCAUUCAAUAAAGUUAUAAACGAUCUUUUAUUCAGUUUGUGCUUCUUUUUCAUAUUUUCUUCUUUUCUUGAAUUAGAAGCAACUUUUGACUUCAUAAAAAGUCCCCAAAACAUUUCAUCUGAUUUUGUUUAAUUUAACCCUUCCAUUAUUUCUCCGAUCCAUUUACGGUAAGUUUCAUUUUCAUUUUCUUGUUUGUUAUAUAAAGUAUAUAAAAAAAAAGUGCGCUCAAGUAGUUGAUAGUGCAAUCUUCCACAAAAAUACACAGUAGUGAAUUAAUGCUACAAGGACAAAAAAGGAAACACAGCAACGCAAUGUAGACGUGACAUUGAGUUUUCCCUACACAUCACAACUCAUUGACAAGUGAGUUUGCGAACAUUCUUGGACAUAUUGAUUGCUCAUUUGAACAUUUUUGGUUACGAAUAUACAAGUGGACACCGUUGACUGGAAAAUUAAAGUUUUGACGUGGUAGUGGUAGUUGACAUGCGAGGAUUUAAAUUUAGUGGGAAAAUAAGUUAACUAUGUUAAAAAAAAUAAAAUAAAUAAAUACCGUGAUAUCUAAUAAUAUUAAUGAUGGCUGGUCGCUUAAAGUUAAUUAUCCUUCUUAAGUAUUCUAGUAGCAAAACUCGUUAGAUAAGCUCGGUUGAGUUGAAGUGAAGGGCCAAACUCAUUCGCUAAGAUCGUCGGGUAUGGUGGUUGAACUCGCACUCCGAAGUGAACAUGUGGCGGGUGACAUCACGGAUGGGUCAUGUUCAAGUGGGGCCUUUAAUCCGACGUAGAAAGUCGGAAGUAACAAAUUUUAUCAUCUAUUUAUGAAAAUUAUAUACGUUUUGUACUUUAGAAGUAAAAGUAUAUUUUAAAAUUUUAACUUAGUUUGUUGCAGAUCAGAUCCCAUGAACCAUGAGAUAGAUAGACACGCACACAACCCCUUGUUGGAGAGAGAGUAAACAAAGGAAUUUAUUUGAGAAAACAUGGUUUUCAAGAAAGCCAAUUGAUGAAAUCUCAAAAUAUUAGCUGAGGCUGAGCUAUGGGGGUACAAUUAUGGGAAAUCAUCUCUCGUGAAAUUGACACGAGAUUGUGAAUCCCAAAUGUGAGAUGAGGUGAAUGAUGAGUUCACGAAUUCACAAGAUUACAAAAAAUAAAAAUAAAGUGAUGGAAACGUACAAUACUAAUCACAGAUCCAUUGUAUACCUGAUUUUGUAACACACCCCCACCAACCUUUCCAUUGUUAGAGGUGGAAAAUGGGUUGAGCAGCUCGUGGGCUUGUCCGUCCCGAUUCGAUCCAUGGGUGACUCAUGUUCUAAAUGAUUUGAACCUAUAUCAAAACCGUUAACUCAUUAUUACUAUUUGCUUUGAAAUGAUAUGAACCCGUCUUACUCCUUAUUAAUUUUUUUGCAUCCCUCGAUAUUUAAACUCAACACAUUUAUCUUAUGAGAAAUUUAAGUUAAAUCAUUGCACCAUCUUGAAUUCGGCGUUUUAGACUGUGUCUCAUAAAGAGAAUGUGUUGUUACUCAAAUUUGGCCAUUGGAAUGUCUAAUUCAAGGGCUAGUGGGUACAAAAUGUUCCUGAAAAAAUAGAUAAAAUCCAAGCAGUUAAAAUAAAAAGUCGUAAAGUCAGAAAACUUAAUUAUAAAUUUGUUGAAAAAAAAGACAGAAUCUGACAAUAUUAAAGCAAGAUAUAUGUAACACUUCAAAUGGCAAUUGAAAAGGACUGGAAUUAUUUUGACAAUCCUUUCCUCACAAUCAUACUUCUAUAAUUUUUGGACUACCCCACGCUCUCCAGCCUAUGUGAACAUGCUCUGGUAAAAGUUGUCUCGAAAGAUUCAAAGAUUGUCAUGUGAUACAUGGGAUAAUAUUUGUUUUUUAGAAUUGUACGCAUAGUCCUCAACUUCUGACCUCUUAAAUUUAUUUAUAGUUAUUUUAAUGUGAUAUGUAAUAGUGUUAUGAUGGCUGCUUGCUUAAAGUUAAUUAUUUUAUUUAAGUGUUCAAUAAGCAGAACUCAUUAAGUCCUUGUUUAAGCCCAUUUUUUUAUUAAAAUAAAUUCUUCAAUAAUGAUUUGAUAUCAUUCCAACAUCAAAUUUUUUAAUAUAAUAAUAUUAUAUGCAAAUUCAUAACUUUUCCUUAUUUUUUAGUUACACAUUUUUCAUUAUACUACUAUUUCAAAAUGUAUUUUUUUGAAGAAAAUGGGGGCUCAAACAACCAAUAAGCUCGGUUGAGUUGAAGUGAAGGGCCAAACUCAUUCGCUAAGAUCGUCAGGUAUGGUGGUUGAACUCAUACUCCAAGGUGAACAUGUGACUGAUGACAUCACAAAUGGGUCGUGUUCAAGUGAGGUCUUUAAUCCGACGUAGAAAGUCGGAUGUAACAAAUUUUAUUGCAGAUCAGAUCCUAUGAACCUUGAGAUAAAUAGACACUCACACAGCCCCUGGUUAGAGAGACAGUAAACAAAGGAAUUUAUCUCAGAAAACAUGAUUUUCAGGGAGGCCAAUUGGUGAAAUAUCAAUUAUGGGAAAUCGUCAUUGGAAAAAUUGAUACGAGAUUGUGAAUCCCAAGUGUGAGAUGAGGUGAAUGAUGAAUUCAUGGAUCCACAAUAUUACAAAAAAAAUACAAUGAUAGGAAUGUACAAUGCUAAUCACGAAUCCACUAUACACAUGAUCUUGUAACCCCAUCCCCCAUCAACCUCACGUUCCAUCGUUAGAGAUGGCAAAUGGGUUGAGCAGUUGGUGGGCUCAUCCAUCCCAGUUGGAUCCAUGGGCGACUAAUGCUCAAAAUGAUCUGAAACCAUGUCCAAGCUGUUAACUCGUAAGCACUAUCUGCUUUGAAAUGACAUGCGCCUGUCUUACUCAUUGAUUUUUUUGCAUCCCUCUGCAUUCAAACUCAAGACGUUAAUCUUAUGAGAAAUUUAAGUUGAAUUCUUAUAUCAUCUUGAAUUCGAAAUUUUAGACUCUGAUACAUAAGAAUGUGCUGUUACUCAAAAUUGUCCAUUGAAACGUAGAAUUGAAGGAACGAUGGCUACAAAAUGUUUCUGAAAAAUAGACAAAAUCCAAGCAGUUAAAAUAAAAAGUCUUAAAGUCAGAUAAUUAUUAUAAGUUUGUUGAGGGAAAAAAAUGCAGAAAUAUAUUUUAACACUUCAAAUGGCAAUUGAAAAAGACUGGAAUUAUUUUGACAAUCAUUUCCACACAAUCAUACUUCUAUAAUUUCUGGACAACCCCCACUCCCUCCAGCCUAGAAUAGCUGCCAAUGUGAAUUGUAUAAUGUAUGUCCUGUUAUAUUUUACUCAAGUAAAAGUAGUCUUGAAAGAUCCAAAGAUUGUCAUAUGAAACAUGGGAUAAUAAUAAUUUUUUUUUUUUUUAAAUUGUACGCAUAGUCCUCAACUUCCUCUUUUGCACUUCUAGUUUCAAUAACUUUUUCUUAAAUUUUAACUCCUCAGGAUUAUAUUAAUUUGAAAAAAAAUAAAUUAAGAUAAAGGAUUACAUUAAUACGUUGUUAAACAAAAAACAAUAUUUUUAUUUAGCUAAAUAGAAAAAAUACUCGUUCUAUUAGUUUCAAACAUAUCUCAUUUGCACUUUCAAAUUAAUGUAGUAAUUAUUUACUACAAGAACAUCAAUCUUACUGAAAUGAAUAUUAAGUCGUGAAAUCUAAUGAUUUUUCGUUAAUUAUAUAGCUCGCUCAGGGCAUGUUUGGCCCUGGCAUUUUAGCUUUUUUUCAGUAAUAUCAAAAGUGAUAAUCAAGAUUAUUUAUUUAUGAUAUAAUAAUUAUAAAGAUUCAUGCAUUGGCAUGGCAAGGCAUGAUACGUAGCUGACAACUAGCAAAUUUUGGCAGCUCCCUUUUGUGUUCACGUGCUUCAGUUUCCCUUAGGGUUUUUAUUUUUGUUUUCUUGCACCACCCACUCCAUCCUCAUUCUAUAUAACGCCACCGUCCUCCUCUACUCCUCCACCAUCAAUUUUCUCCCUUUUUUCUUCAGAGGAUCAAAUCAUGGAGUCCUCUAAAAUAACUGCCUUUCUCUUUAUUUCCAUGCUCUUUAUUUCCUCAGCCACUCCCAUUCUUGGCUGUGGAUACUGUUCCAAACCCCCACCAAAACACAAGAAGCCCAAAAACCCACCAAAAGUCAAACCACCAGGAACCCGGCCACCGAAAGUCAAACCACCAGUGAUCCUACCUCCGAUAAACAAACCACCAGUAACCCUGCCACCAAUAGUUAAACCACCAGUAAUCUUGCCACCAAUUGUGACCCCUCCAGUAACAGUGCCACCAGUGCAAAAAAAAAAAGAGAAGACAAACCAUAGGUGGAUUUAAUGAAUUUUGGAGGGGACAUAAAAUCUUGCCUAUAUCUAACAAGAAAACAAAUGAUAACUUAAGCGUAAAGAAAACUUUCGGCUAUAAAUCUCGUGAACGCUUACCUUGUUCCUUUGUGUGUUAGUCAUACUAUUCCUCGUCUUGUUUUUUAAAUGUUAUUAAUAAUUUUCAUUUUCAAUCCCUUUAAAAUUAAACAUAAAUUUCAACAAUAUAUUUAUAUAGCUGCUCUUCAUCGAUUAAUCACACAUUUCGGAAGAAAAGUUACUAAUUCAAUAGUUUACUAGAAGAGAAUGAUCAUAAUAAUCCAAGAGAAAAUUAAAUAAAAUUUAAAUAAUAUAAUAUGAAACCCUAUUUCCCUCAUAAUCAUCAUUUUACCUUUCUUUUCUUUUUCUUUUUUUUUUUCACCCAAGAGAACUGUUAGAUGCAUCUAUUUCCCUCAUAGGAGCUUAGACGGGAUCUUUGAGAACAGUGAUAAAUAUACUGUAGUAAAUAUUGUACAAGGAACCAAGAAAAAAAGGGAUCUCUUUACAAAUAACCCCUUCAUGUAUCAACUUUUUUUAAUUAUAAAAUAAAAAAUUAAAUUUUACUCAAAAGUGUUUAGAAACAAAACCAUGUUUGGAUAAAAGUUUCCGAUCUUAUUCGAAUGAUGAAUGUUGGUUUGAAUAUGAAUAUAGUUACCAUCACGGCUCGCUUGCACGAUUAGCAAUUGGUUCGAUUGAGCUAUGAAAUCACAACGUAAAAAUUCCUAUCCAUCAAUGUGUUACACGAACAAAUAUUUUUUUACCUAGAUUGAGCUUGUAUACUUCAAUAUGCCCACAUAUAAACUAGCAGUUCGACAGAUGCUUGGUACACUAAGCCCUCGUUUGAGCCCUUUCUCUAAAAACUCUUUUUUUUUUUUAAACUCAUUUUCAUUCACAUUCUUCUAAUAAAAUAAUUUUAUAUAUAAACUUGAAACUUUUUUCAUACUAUUUAACUGCACAUUCUAAAAAAAAUCACUAUUUCAAAACUCACUUUUCACAAUAAAAAAAUGGGGCUUUGUUUAAGAAAUAGCCUAGAUAAGAUAUAAUAAAGGAAAGGGAACAUUUCAUAUAUAAGCGAUUAAUUAUGGAUCAUUUUAAACCUAAGAAACAAAUUUAAAACUUCAAAAAUCGGAUAUUAAUAAUUUUUUUAUGAAAUAAUUAAUUAAAUAUAUAUUUUAUUAAUUAAAUAUGCUAAAGUCACAAUUAUACUACUAUUUGGUAACAAAUUAUUGAAUUAAUUGGUCACAAAAUAUUUCUCGUUCACAAAUAAAAAAUUUUAUAAGUCAAAUUAUUUUACGGUCACAAAUAAAAAAAAAUGUUCACAAUUUAUUAAUUGAUCACAAAUCAAAAAAUUUAUAGGUUACAAUUUAUUUAUCGAUCACAAAUUAUAAAUCUUAUAAGUUACUAAAAUUUUUAAAUCACAUAUUAUUUAUUGGUCAUAAGUUAACAGUUAUAUUGGUUACAAAAUAUCCAAUUUAUUCGUCACAAAUUAAAAUAAUUGAUCAUAUAUUAUUUAUUGAUUAAAAAAUAACCAAUUUAUUGAUCACAAUCAACCAAAUAAUUGAUUACAAACCCCAUCUCAAUACCAUUCCACUUACAACCAUCGCACCACCACCAUGACCACUUAUACUUGCUUAAAUCUACAUCGAAUAAACUCUACCUACUCGAACGAUUCUUCAGCUUUAAGAUGGAUCCUUCAAAGGAUCUUGACGACAAUUUAGAUGUAUUUAACAAAUUGGUGCAAGAUAUUGUCAAUUGUGACGAAGCCGUGUCUGAGACCUAUAAGGCUAUUAUCUUGCUCAAUUCAAUCCCGGACUCUUAUAAAGAAGUUAAGAAUGCCAUUAAGUAUGGUAGGGAUACGUUAACACCUGCAAUUGUCGUAGAUUCUCUUAGGAGUAAAGAGAUGAAAAUGAGGGCUGAAAAAUAGGAUAGGAGGAGUGGAGAGUUGCAUAUGAUGCGGGGUAGAACUCAAUUUAGGCAAGCCAGUCAUGAUGGAUACCAAAGUAGUGGCGAAUCAAGUAGUAAUAGUUGGAAAAAGAAGGGGAAUGGUAGACCUAGAUCAAAGUCAAGAACUAGGGGUAGAAAAUGCUAUGGCUGUGGAGGCACAGGGCAUUUUAUAAAAGACUACCAUAAAGAAAGGGAAAAACAAAAGGUUAAAGAAAGAGAUGAGGUAAAUGUGUUAUCCUCUACCUCCGAUACCGAAAACGGUGAAGUCUAUGUNNNNNNNNNNNNNNNNNNNNNNNNNNNNNNNNNNNNNNNNNNNNNNNNNNNNNNNNNNNNNNNNNNNNNNNNNNNNNNNNNNNNNNNNNNNNNNNNNNNNNNNNNNNNNNNNNNNNNNNNNNNNNNNNNNNNNNNNNNNNNNNNNNNNNNNNNNNNNNNNNNNNNNNNNNNNNNNNNNNNNNNNNNNNNNNNNNNNNNNNNNNNNNNNNNNNNNNNNNNNNNNNNNNNNNNNNNNNNNNNNNNNNNNNNNNNNNNNNNNNNNNNNNNNNNNNNNNNNNNNNNNNNNNNNNNNNNNNNNNNNNNNNNNNNNNNNNNNNNNNNNNNNNNNNNNNNNNNNNNNNNNNNNNNNNNNNNNNNNNNNNNNNNNNNNNNNNNNNNNNNNNNNNNNNNNNNNNNNNNNNNNNNNNNNNNNNNNNNNNNNNNNNNNNNNNNNNNNNNNNNNNNNNNNNNNNNNNNNNNNNNNNNNNNNNNNNNNNNNNNNNNNNNNNNNNNNNNNNNNNNNNNNNNNNNNNNNNNNNNNNNNNNNNNNNNNNNNNNNNNNNNNNNNNNNNNNNNNNNNNNNNNNNNNNNNNNNNNNNNNNNNNNNNNNNNNNNNNNNNNNNNNNNNNNNNNNNNNNNNNNNNNNNNNNNNNNNNNNNNNNNNNNNNNNNNNNNNNNNNNNNNNNNNNNNNNNNNNNNNNNNNNNNNNNNNNNNNNNNNNNNNNNNNNNNNNNNNNNNNNNNNNNNNNNNNNNNNNNNNNNNNNNNNNNNNNNNNNNNNNNNNNNNNNNNNNNNNNNNNNNNNNNNNNNNNNNNNNNNNNNNNNNNNNNNNNNNNNNNNNNNNNNNNNNNNNNNNNNNNNNNNNNNNNNNNNNNNNNNNNNNNNNNNNNNNNNNNNNNNNNNNNNNNNNNNNNNNNNNNNNNNNNNNNNNNNNNNNNNNNNNNNNNNNNNNNNNNNNNNNNNNNNNNNNNNNNNNNNNNNNNNNNNNNNNNNNNNNNNNNNNNNNNNNNNNNNNNNNNNNNNNNNNNNNNNNNNNNNNNNNNNNNNNNNNNNNNNNNNNNNNNNNNNNNNNNNNNNNNNNNNNNNNNNNNNNNNNNNNNNNNNNNNNNNNNNNNNNNNNNNNNNNNNNNNNNNNNNNNNNNNNNNNNNNNNNNNNNNNNNNNNNNNNNNNNNNNNNNNNNNNNNNNNNNNNNNNNNNNNNNNNNNNNNNNNNNNNNNNNNNNNNNNNNNNNNNNNNNNNNNNNNNNNNNNNNNNNNNNNNNNNNNNNNNNNNNNNNNNNNNNNNNNNNNNNNNNNNNNNNNNNNNNNNNNNNNNNNNNNNNNNNNNNNNNNNNNNNNNNNNNNNNNNNNNNNNNNNNNNNNNNNNNNNNNNNNNNNNNNNNNNNNNNNNNNNNNNNNNNNNNNNNNNNNNNNNNNNNNNNNNNNNNNNNNNNNNNNNNNNNNNNNNNNNNNNNNNNNNNNNNNNNNNNNNNNNNNNNNNNNNNNNNNNNNNNNNNNNNNNNNNNNNNNNNNNNNNNNNNNNNNNNNNNNNNNNNNNNNNNNNNNNNNNNNNNNNNNNNNNNNNNNNNNNNNNNNNNNNNNNNNNNNNNNNNNNNNNNNNNNNNNNNNNNNNNNNNNNNNNNNNNNNNNNNNNNNNNNNNNNNNNNNNNNNNNNNNNNNNNNNNNNNNNNNNNNNNNNNNNNNNNNNNNNNNNNNNNNNNNNNNNNNNNNNNNNNNNNNNNNNNNNNNNNNNNNNNNNNNNNNNNNNNNNNNNNNNNNNNNNNNNNNNNNNNNNNNNNNNNNNNNNNNNNNNNNNNNNNNNNNNNNNNNNNNNNNNNNNNNNNNNNNNNNNNNNNNNNNNNNNNNNNNNNNNNNNNNNNNNNNNNNNNNNNNNNNNNNNNNNNNNNNNNNNNNNNNNNNNNNNNNNNNNNNNNNNNNNNNNNNNNNNNNNNNNNNNNNNNNNNNNNNNNNNNNNNNNNNNNNNNNNNNNNNNNNNNNNNNNNNNNNNNNNNNNNNNNNNNNNNNNNNNNNNNNNNNNNNNNNNNNNNNNNNNNNNNNNNNNNNNNNNNNNNNNNNNNNNNNNNNNNNNNNNNNNNNNNNNNNNNNNNNNNNNNNNNNNNNNNNNNNNNNNNNNNNNNNNNNNNNNNNNNNNNNNNNNNNNNNNNNNNNNNNNNNNNNNNNNNNNNNNNNNNNNNNNNNNNNNNNNNNNNNNNNNNNNNNNNNNNNNNNNNNNNNNNNNNNNNNNNNNNNNNNNNNNNNNNNNNNNNNNNNNNNNNNNNNNNNNNNNNNNNNNNNNNNNNNNNNNNNNNNNNNNNNNNNNNNNNNNNNNNNNNNNNNNNNNNNNNNNNNNNNNNNNNNNNNNNNNNNNNNNNNNNNNNNNNNNNNNNNNNNNNNNNNNNNNNNNNNNNNNNNNNNNNNNNNNNNNNNNNNNNNNNNNNNNNNNNNNNNNNNNNNNNNNNNNNNNNNNNNNNNNNNNNNNNNNNNNNNNNNNNNNNNNNNNNNNNNNNNNNNNNNNNNNNNNNNNNNNNNNNNNNNNNNNNNNNNNNNNNNNNNNNNNNNNNNNNNNNNNNNNNNNNNNNNNNNNNNNNNNNNNNNNNNNNNNNNNNNNNNNNNNNNNNNNNNNNNNNNNNNNNNNNNNNNNNNNNNNNNNNNNNNNNNNNNNNNNNNNNNNNNNNNNNNNNNNNNNNNNNNNNNNNNNNNNNNNNNNNNNNNNNNNNNNNNNNNNNNNNNNNNNNNNNNNNNNNNNNNNNNNNNNNNNNNNNNNNNNNNNNNNNNNNNNNNNNNNNNNNNNNNNNNNNNNNNNNNNNNNNNNNNNNNUUUGAAUGAUUAUGUGGUAGUGUAUUCUGAUAGUCAGUCGUCUAUACAUUUAUGCAAGAACCCUGUUUUUCAUGAGCGCACUAAACACAUUGAUGUUAUGCUAUAUUUUAUUAGAGAUAUAGUAUCUCAAGAGGUGUUAAGACUUGAAAAGGUCCAGACACAAUACAACCCUUCAAAUAUGGGCACGAAAGUGUUGUCACUGGUAAAGUUUAGAAGUUGCAAAGAGCUUCUAAACAUCGGUACAGGUAAAUGAUUUCCAAUUUUAUCAGUUUUCUGUUAGAGAUGUCACUAAUGGAAAACGUUUUCUCUUUGCAGGUCCUUUGAUACUAAGGUGGAGGUUGUUAGACAUCAUGUUGUCAAAUGACCUCCCAGGCGAUGAUGUAAACCAGUUUUAUCAAUCGACAUGAAUGACUGAACGAUAAAUCAACACCGAAUAAUGGGAUGACUCGACUUAAUGUUGUUUUACCUAUUGGAUGGCUAGUAAACCUUUGUGGCUUGUUGGUGUGCUAUUGGGCCAUAACUUACCUUAUUGUUUGUCAUUGGUUUACUAUAUAUAUUGGUAACUCUCGUGUCUUCUAAUGUCCCGUUUUUGAAAGAACCCGAGAGAGAGAGAGGCUGCCUUCUUCUUCUUCUUCGUGCAUUCUACUCUUGGAUCUUGUCUACAUCUUGCUUGUGUCUUUGUGACCCUUUACCUGUGUGGUAUUCAUCCUUUGUGAGUGAACAAACAACAAGCAAAAGGAAGAAAAGCAACCAUAGGUAGAACUCGUGGUCGGCGUCGGGUACCUUCGGUUUUGGUGUUGAUUCGGUGUUUUAAAGGUUAACUGAGCCCGGAAAUCAUCUUGAGCAGUUAGAGGAAGAUCCUAACAAUGGGCUCUCUCAAGAUCUCCGAGCAAUGCGCAGUUUGCAGCAUAGUUUGCACAAAAAGUUCCGCGAGCCUCUUCAGGCCUGCGGAACUCAGAUCCUUGGAAUUCAAUUGGUAAAGAAGCAGCACUAGGAGCCACUGAACGGCCAUUUAACUCCUCACAAUCCACCGCUUUUUCCAACUUCCACUUUUUGCAAUCCUCUUGGCUGCACGGAAGCUCCACAUUGUUCCCACCAGACACAUACGUCAUCAAAACCUGAGCAGCUUCCAUUGGCCGAUUUAACAGGCAUAAAGCCUCGGUAGCAUACAUGUUCCCCAAAAAAAUGUAUAUUCUUGAGCACUUGGGAACUUUGAGAAGAGAUUUUGCUGUCGCCAGGGCCUUCAAGGGAUUUCCUAGUGCCAAUUCUACAUAAGCCAAAUCAGCAAGUACAGCUUGCUUGAUCAUCUGAUUCUCCUUCAUAAAAACAUCUUCAUAUCCAGAAACAGAGUUUUGUUGUGACGUGAUAUUACGACUUCCACCCUUGUGUUCUUUUACUUCAACAUUUGCAAGAACCUGGCUUGACUCAGAUGAUACAGGAGAUGCUAGCUUUUCUCUUGAUUCAAUAGUCAAACCAGAUCCAGAAUAUUUUCCCUCGGACAAUUCCAGUAAAUACAAAGUAUUGAAAAGACACCGCCAGGCAAGAGACAUGGAGAGAUCAGGCUGCUUGCCAUCACCUAACAAAAGAUCUUCCUUCCCAAAAAAUUCCUGCUGGCCGUUUGUUGAAUUGCAAUAUUUCACUGCAAGUUGCCUCCAUUUUCCCUUUCCAAUGACAUUAACUCUGAUAUCAGAUCUGUCAGUGGUGGACGGAAUCGACUUCAUUAGUCCCUUCUCUAGAGCCACUGGACAGCACUCGGCAAUUUGUCACAAAAGAGGUCUGUUGUAAAAGAUUAGACUGGCCUGCUGGAAACAGCGAACAGCAUGGAAAGGUCUUCCACAGGCCAAGUGAUGCACUCCACAAUUAUAGGUUAUCGCAAGGGAUUUAUCCUGUGAUAAAGACUUAAGCUACAGAGGUUUUUCCUUCCGUACAAGUGAACUGCUAUUUAGGGCUUUGGAAAAGAAUACUCCAGAAGUGUGAUGAUUUCCAAGUUGGUAAUACAUCCAAGAUUGUUGUAGUACAUGCUAGAAAUACCAGUCUCUGUAUGGUUACUUGAUGCCAUCAAAAGCUUAAUCGCUUUGCGAUGGUUCCCACGAGCAUAUUCCAGCUGUGACUUCAAAUAGAGAGCCGUGGGAUAAUCUUUUCCAUGAGCUAUGUUCAUAGCCAUUUUGACUUCCCGCUUGGCUGCCUUAAGGUUCCUGGUGAGGAGCAAAAGACGAACCUUGUACAGAUGCAGCUUAAGCCUUAGAUCAGCGGCUGAUAUGGACUCUUCAGCAUGGGUCCUCAGAAGAUCAUUAAAAGAAGGGAUGCCAGAAAGCCUUUCACGGCUCUGUUCGCUGCUGCCAAGGGAAGAUAAUAGCCGUAGCGAUUCAUCUUCAAGUGCUUCCUCUGAUAACGUUGACAAAGAAUUUACAAAGGUAUUUGCAGUAGUAACUGAAUCAUAAUUUGAGCAGUCAGGAAUAGUUGAUUUGCUGGGAACUGAAGUAGAUAUAGACACUAUUGCAGGAUGUUGCUGUGCUGAGUUUCCAUUAUCCACUUGACUGAUGCUGUUAACACCAAAUGCCUUCUCCAUGUAACUUAUGACAUCCUGGACAUAAUAAAGUCAAUGUACUCAUAUUUAAGCGACUUGAAGCAUGGGAGGCUUCCCACUAUUUAAAGCAGCGUAUAACUAGUUUAAGUUGAGACUGCAUGGAAACAUGCCUAUGGGGAACUUCCAUGGUUAAAGCACAGCACUCAGAUGACAUGCAAACAAAGAUUAAAGAAGCAUAAAGCACCAAAAAGCGCAAUGCACAAAAACACAGGAGAUUCUUGAAUUCUCUUUAAUCUUAAAUUAUUUCAGUUAGUCAUGUGAUGUGGAUAUAUGGCUUUUGCAAGCGGAUUAGUUGCACAAGCAUAUAGCAUUAUCCCAAAUAGGCCACUUGACUAUAAUUCUUCAGAUCCAUCAAAUCAUAAUGAAGAUCCACAUGCAGAUCAGAACAUAAAACAUGUUCCAUACCUUUCAAGUACAAGAUAGAAAAGUCAUCACGAAGGAAUUAUAACUAUUCCAAUUACAAGCAACAUUUUGAGAACCAUAGUCAACAAUACACUUCCCACUGAAAAACUGGAAAUGUUCUACUCGAAAGGUAUGGAAAAGUAAAACGAGUAAUUGGAAACCAAAAUUUUCAAUAAACACCAAAGAAAAACCUUUGAAGCUCAGACAAACAUGCUAAUAGUAUCAUUACUUCAAGGAAAGAAGUUAAAUAUUUCCUAAUCUUACAAGGUUUAUUUCAUUUUGAUAACAAUUUAUAGUUUUUUCCAAAAUUAUAACUAAUCAUGGUAUCAGAACAUUGAACCAAUGCUGACUACCAUUAUCACAAAUUUUAGCUGCGCUCCUUCCACCUCAAUCAUUAGAAGAUGCCACUUGCUAAUAUCAAUUUGUAUUGAAAAUUCAAGUUUAUUUUACCAAGAAGAGGAGAAAAGUGAUGCACUGCUCAUCUAAAAUUCUUGAGUGGUGUAACCGUGUAAGGUAUAUAUGACAAGUUGGGAAAAAAUCUUAUUCCUAGUAAAUUUGAGGUGGGCUACAUUAAUCCUUUAACACCAUUCCACUACGUUCGCUAGAUCUACAUAGAGAUCUAUUGCAACUAAAUCCUGAGUAACUUAAGCCACAUCAAUUUUAGUCUACCCCUCCCUCUUCUCAUUUGCUAUUGCAAAAUACCGUCAUUAUUACAAACGAGAGCCCCCUUACUUCAAUAUAAAAAGUGAUCCAACCAGCUAAGUUGUUGUAAACUUAAUUUAUCAGCUUCACCACCACUUGGUUGGCAUAUAUUUUCAUUCCUAUCGUGUCCAUUUUAGUACGACCACAUAUCCAUCUUAAAGUCCUUAUUUUCCACUACAUUCAUCUUGUGGACAUAUGUCCUUUAAUAGCCCAACACUGGGAACUGUAAAACAUAUCUGGUCUUUAUUCUUCUGUGGAAGUUGCCAUUUAAACCUGAUGGAAUCUUUCAAUCACAUAUAAUUCUUGUAGCACUUCUCCAUUUUAUCCAACCAACUAAAAUCCUGUUCAUAACAUCCUCUUCAAUUUCUUAUUCCUUGUUAACUGAAUUCGGAACAACAUGAUUAUAUGUACUAAUUCGAUUAACUUGAGAAAAAAAUUUUAAAAAAAAUGCAUGAAAGAGAAAACAGAACUUAUUUUCAUGCACAUAUAAAGUUGUUAGGUCUCACACAAAUUGAAAUAAAAGAGAGUUUUAGCACAAGGGAAAUACAAAUCUUUACUGAUCAGUUUAAUAAGUACUACCGAAAGAUGUACCUCUAUUGAGCAUAAAGCUAUAACCCUUGCAUAUUCAAAUAUCUAUAACAUUAAAGUAAAAGAGCACAUUUUAACUCAAAGAAGAAAAGUUGUCUAUGUCCAAAUCACACUGUCAUGAUUUUCACAUUCAAAAUUCAAAACGAAGAAUCAUUUUAAUGUCAUUUCCAGAAAAGGUAACCGAAGAUAGAAAUGCUUAUGAAGAGCACGAGAAAAAUAUUUGAACUUACAGCAGAUCUGGAUGCAUGGUAGGAAAGUAAUGAAACAUCCAGCAACAAGAGGCAAAUACGAAGAGCUGUCCCCUGCAUGUAACCAUAUAAGGUCGGGCAAAUAUGCAUCAAACAUUGACAUGCCAGCUUCAAUGGCGUGUCGGUGCUUCCUAGAAUUUAACCAGUACACCCAACUUCAUUAACAAUAAUAAGGCUACUGCUAUGACUGAUUACCUCAUCAAUAGGUUCAAUGUUCUGAUAUAACGCUUCCAAAAAUGAGAAUGAUUUUGCAUAGUCAUGAAGGUGGAACCAGAUAACUGCCUGCAAUCAGAUUCAAUGCACAUAAAAAUACACAAGGAAAGAUUAUAACCCAACUCAAGAGCAAUGCCAACAUCAAGAGAACAUACUACGUUGAACGUAGCCACCGAACUGUCGAACUCAUUGCUGUAAACAACUGGUGAACUAGAAAACUGAUGCACCAUAUCAUUACUUCCUUCCACUCCAGAUGUAAUUUUGCUUCCAUUGUUGCCGACAACCUCUACAUGUUCUCCAGAUGCACAAGUAAGCUCUUCACUUCGUUUCUAAAUUGAAUAAAAAAAGUCAAUAGAGCAUAGAAUAUGAAGAGCCUAACACUAAUGUAUUUAUAUAUCCACUAUUAAGAACGUUAUAUCAAUAAACAUGGACCAAAACGUAGGUCAAGGUUUGGUCCACUGCCGCUCUGUUUAAUUGUGGAAAUUGGAGGGGUAGUUUGUGGAAUCAGAUGUCAUCUACAACAAUAUGACAUAUUAAAAUGGUUACCGUUAUGUCUGCCAUGUUUAAAUCUGUACAUGUAUGCAUAUAUAUUCCAGAAUGUGAAAAAUCAUGGGAGGAAAGAGUAGAAUUUUAAAAUUCAUACAAAGAGUGAGAGUCAGAUAUAGGGUAAAUAGUUGAACACAAUUAAUUCAUAAAAAGGAUAGAAAAUUGAGCAUAUACUCAAAAUGCUCAUUCUCCAAUUUAAGCUAAUCUUACAAGACAAUGUAAAGCUUUAGUUUACUUAUCAGAUAAUUGUGUAACUACAAAUAUUCAAUAUGCAACUUUCUAGAAAGUUCAUUGCAUUAAUUUUGCAUGCUGAAUAACACUUGUAGCAAGAGACAUUAAAUAACUUUUAGAAGGUGCAAACACUUUUCUUAUCUUACUAAUUUCUCUCUCUCUCUUUUUGUUUUUUUUUUUUUCUUCGGAGGAAGUAUAUGAACUUCAUAAAUUUAAUAGAAAGUAGGCAUCAUACACAGCCAAAACUUUCACUUACUUGUAACACUGGGCUCUUUAACAUGAAUUUCAGCAUUCUCUAACAGAAUCCCAUUUGACAUGGUUUUUAGGCCUUCACAACAGACUCUUUUAAUCAAUAUAUCAUGCUUACACUAGUCAAUUUUUGGAGUAGCACUGACUACAUGAGUUGGGUCAGAAUUUUCAUUUUUCACAUUUAAGUGUUUGCUUUUUUCUAAUAUAUUUUAAUAAUCUGUGUAAGAACUGGGAAUUCCUCUCCAUUUGUCCUACAAUGGGCAUAUCACAAAAAAGUGAAAAACAAAAGAAAUCUGUCCAAUAGUAAUGUUGAUUCCAAGGUUGACACGAUUCUCCAAAUAUUCUAUAAUGAAACCACUUCAGAAACUUGUUGCGCAAAAUAUAAAAAGAUAAAAAUUAAAAAUUGAAAAAAGAAAAACAACUGGAAACAAAAAUUUCUUUUUAAGUAUUCAUAUAUGCAUCUCCACAUCAAAUAUCAAUACCAUUGAGAAUCCACAUAAUGCUUACACAACCAUGUCAGGUUUCCUCAUUUAAAGACAGGCAAUAACAUCAAGAAUGCCUCCAGUAACUAGUCUUCUCCUAAAAACUCAUGCUUCACAGGGAAAGGAAACAUCCACAUGCUAUAUAGGCACACAUGAGCUUGAUGGGAGAGAUUUUUCCAAGUGAAAAGUGAUUUGUUUAAGAAGUAGGGAAUAGUUAUGGAUCCCAUAUAAUGUGUGGUGAUUUUGAGAAACAUGAUUUUAAAAUAAUGAAUAACAGGUUUCUACUCAUGUUUAUUAAAAGGUGCAGUCUAAACCACAAACCUUGUCAUUUUCAAGUGCUUUAAUAAGCCUCCUAGGAUUUGAAUAGCCAUCUUGAAUAUUCUCUGCAAUUGCAAUGUUAUGAAGAACCUAAAAUGGCAAAGGAAUUACAAAUAAGCAAUAAAGAAACACGAUGGAAACUUUCUAUGAAACAAGUAAGUCAGAUUUACACUAUAGCAAGCUAAAACUUUUGAUAAUAAAACGUAUGAACGGAAUUUGUUGGAUGCCUAUUUUUUCGCGCGGGUUCGUCGCUAACAAUUAAAAAGGAUCAGACGAUUGUGUAAGGGACAAACCUCUUGAGACAAAGUCCCAAAAAGGGGUGUUCUUUUAUUGGCGAUGACUUUACAAUUGGAAAUUAAAAACGGAAUACCUCCAAGGGGUGCAAGCACACGAGUUACUGAAAGAAGUGUUUAAAUCUAAGCUAAGGAAUUUAAAAUUACAUGUUCUUUGUUCGAGAGUUUUUGAUUCGGUCCUUUUGCUCUAUGUCUUUCCUUCCUUUUAUACUCCCUGGAUGAUCUCUUUGUGAUCAACCGCCUAAAAACUGCUGGAUCGUUCUAUAACUGCCCACUUUCCUCGUAAUGGCCAACUUGUCAUGGAACUGCCUUUUUUAACUGCUGCCAUUACUCUUCGUCGUUCAACCGUUUUCGAUUGAAUUCCUUGAAUCGUGGAACGUGAUAGGGCUGCUUUAAUAACUGCUUUGAUAACUGCACUUCUUGAUAACUACAACACUUUAUGUUUGCUAAGACCUUGGGCGACUCGAAGAUUUGGGCGAGAAUAGAGUAACAGCUCUGGGCGACUGCAUGGCACUCCAUUCGCUCAGAUUCUAGGCAACUUGCAAACUUGGGCGAUGGUGUUACCGCGUUCUUGGGCCUCCCUAUUUGGGCCUUCAUCUUGAAUUGUUUGAUUGGGCUUCGUUCUUUGGGCUAUCUGAUUUGGGGAUCCUCCAAUUGGGCUUCAUUCUUUGAGUCGUUCGAUUUGGGCUGAAUUUUUAUGUGUCAACAAUUACCUCCCAAUAUGGCAGAAUUAAUACCAAUUAUUAAAUUUUGCCAUAUUCACUUUAUGUUUCCAGCAACAUUUGAAAUUCCCAAGAAUUUCAAUCAUUGUUUUCUUCCAUAGCUUGAAAAGGUGCGACGUUUUGCAAACCCUUAUAACCCCCAAACACGCCAUUUCACUGCAUCAUUAAAUCACGCCUCACUUUUUCGCGUUUCUCUCCCACGAUUUACUGUUCAUCUUUUUGCUUCCCUGCUACGUAACUCUGAAAAAACUCUGUUUCAUCCCUAAUGGCUACUUCACAAUCUCAAUCUGGCGACUCCUUUAGUUUUGAUGACUUUCAGAAACUUCUGAGUCGUCCAUACAUAACUCCGAGCUUUCUCGCGCCCGCCAAUGUCGAACUUAAUGAGUUCUACCUAGGUUCUUUCUUCAACAAUGCAGAAGCAGUCGAACAGACGGCGGUGGGCCAGCUGUUUCCUUGUACUCAAGGCCCUCCAUUUCUAAACUCUUUGCCGCUGGGGCCACUUCGCGAAAGAGGUAUUCGCACUUUACCUAAAUCUGACAUAGUUUUCCGUAGGUGGCAUGCUCGCCUUGUGGACCAUGGUCCUACUAAGGCACUUUUUGAUAAUGCUAGGAUUUCUGAUUUGUUAGAAAUCUCUAUUCAACCCCCUACUUUUGAUUCAGCACUUUUUUCGAUCUCUCUAAGUUUUUGGUCUUCUGAAUAUAAUACCUUUGUUUUCCUUCUUGGCCCCAUGUCUAUUACUUUAAGGGAUGUUGGAGCCCUAGUGAAUCUACCACCUUUGGGCGAUAUCAUUUUUCCUGGUAUCUUGGUUUCUGGUGGCACCCCAAAGUUUGGUAAAAACUACACCGAGUCUUAUUCAAGCCUGCAAGCCCUUCAUAACCAUUCGAGCGCUGAGCCUUCCCAUACUGAACGAGUGGCCUUUCUUCUGGUUUGGCUUUGUAAAUAUGUUUUGUGUGUGCCAAGCAUAAAGCCCUCCCUAAGUUAUUUACCCAAAGCACGAAUUAGCGCGUGGCAGGCCUUUGAAUUUAUGUUCUUUCUUUUUGGCUGCCCUUUAUAGAGGCAUGGCUUCUCUUCAAACUCAAUUGAAGAAUGGUGCAUCUCCCACUGGCAGUGGACCUCUUUGGUUCACUCAACUGUGGUUGAGAUCCUAUUUUCCAUUGCUUGGUACUCUAUCAAUUUCUCGUUCUUCUACUAGCUGCUAUGGGCUAGCCAUUGAGCCUAUGGCUCCUGUAAAUAUGUCUAGAAGGGAUAUUUUUUCAUUCUUUUAUUCUUUGGAUUCAAUCCAUUCCUUCUUUCCCUUUCUUCCUUUUUUGACUCCAAACUAUGUGCAUCCCCCCUCCACUAUAGACAGCGCGAGCACCUCUCUGCUCAUUUGGAUCCAGUUUUUAACCGGGAGGGAGUUAUUUCAUGAUAUUUUAACUGGGACCAAUACCAAGGCAGGGGUAGAAAUUUAUACUCUCCAAUUUUUUGCUCGCCAACUUGGUUUCGACCAAACUUGGCCUGUUCCUCCUUACUAUUUAAGAAACUUGAUUGACCGCUUCCAUAUUAUUAAUAAGGCGGAGGUAGAGGCUAUAAAUGCUCGCAAUCUUCUUUUAACAAGCUAUUUUUCGUGAGCCCCCUUCAAUUCUAACCACGCCAUCUAUCUCCUUUUUGAACAGCUCUGGCCGUUAUCGAAGCACAGAUUGUUUGCGACUGAUGCUAAUUGUGCCUUUCAUUCACUGGACCAGCCGAGCAUUUCUUCCCCUCCUCCUGUUUUAGUCACUCCUUUGUCUAUCCGGAGUCCUUUUCCUCCUCGUCGCGCUAAACAGUCUGCUCGUCCAUCUUCUUCUCUCCCUGCCAAACCUACUGCAGCCAAGAGUGCCCCAAGCCGCAAACGGCCAGCCUCAGCAUCUCCCAUUCUGGAGGAUGAUGUUGAUGAUGAUGAUGAUACCCCUCUUAUCAUCAGGAGGAAGGUAAUUAAAUUGGUUUACUCACAAGUAUACUUUUCCAUACUUGAAACUUUUCUGUGUGCUGAUGAUUUAUUUGGACUUCUCAGAAAAGUUUAGCCUCUCCUUUAAAGGCUUUGACAUCGGCAGCUCCUGCUCCAUCAUCCUCCGCUGAGGCUGCUUCAUCCAAACCAAUUGAUGAAUAGACUACGCUUAAAGAGACAUCUUCAGUCCCAGAAUCCUCAUCACAACCAAUGGAUGAGCCACCUUCUUCCCAGGGCGUCAACCCCCC
rnacentral:lncRNA from 1 species